rnacentral:lncRNA from 1 species
GAUGGAUGGUCAGGAUUAACUGCUUGUUUAUAAUCACUUAACUAUGUAUUAGUAAAAUAAAUGAACAAGUAGUGUUGUUUAAUAAAGCAUGCAUGGAUGUGCGUGAUAUCCAACAAUCGGGUUCUACGAAUGAGUGUAAUAAUACAACCUUUAUGUCUACACUUUUUUUAUUUAGUUUUUUUUUUCCCCUUGAUAAGAAAGCACGCUUUCACAGAAUCAUACUAAGAAAAAGGAUACAAGAGAUGAGUUGGGCAAGUCCCCAAAAAAACACCAGAAAGCUAAUUUUGCGAUUACAAGUUCUAGAAGUAUGUUGAAUUAUAGCAUAACUUAGUCUCCGAAGCUUUUCUUGAACUUCAGAAAUAGCCCAAAAAAUCUCCAGCUUGCUGUUCUUCUUUUUAGCAAUUAAAUUUAUUACGUCUUGCCAAUCUGUUUCGAGUAUCAGUGGUACACUUGUUGCCUCUUCUGCAAUUUCCUAGCCCUAAUUAGUUGCUUCAGCUUUUGCAGAUGCUACACUGUCAUAGUAUUUUGAUUUCUUCACUCAGCAGCUACAAACUCUCCCUUGUGAUUCCUGGUGACAAUCCCAGGCUUAGCAUUGAUUUUUAGACUUGAUGGUGGCAUCCACGUUCACUUUGAACCAGCUUUUAAGAGGGAGUGUCCAGCUUGGCUGAGUUGCAGACACUUGCCUUGAACUUGCUUUCAUUUGAAGGGCUUUAAUUUUUAUGUAGGACUCAACUGUUACUUCAGCUUUAGCCACUAAUACCUGAGAAUCUUCUUCUUCUUUGUUUUUUUCCAAAGAUGAAAAGAUUUCUGGAGUGUCAAAUAACCCAAAUAGGCCAUUGCAUAUUAAUCAGAGGUUGAAUCGCGACAGAAUUACAAAGCAAACCACGUAGUCAAAUACAAAUACAAACAUGAAGGCUCAUGUUGCACCCUUUAUCUGUCCUACGCACUAAUGACGUCAUUUCUGAUAAAUGAAUGAAGACUAUAUGUUACUAAAACAUGCCAACACUAAAAUUUCUUGAUAAGAUUUAGACGAUGGCGAAAAUAAAAUUAUUCAAUAAUUAAAUUAAUGAUUUUGUAGAAGUAUAUCGGCCUAAUUCAUACUAAAAAACUAGCUUAGGAGUUGGGGUUGCCCAAACCUACCAACACUAAAAAUUUUGAUAAAAAUUAAACAAUGAUGGAAAAUUUAAAUAAUUGUCAAAAAAUUGAUUAUAUAGAAGCCCAUAUGCCUAACUUAUACUCAAAAGUUAACUUAAAAUUUGAGGGUUACCCAAACCUUAUAUAUUUAACCCGCGAAUAAUCUUCAGUCGAUGUGGUAUAUUGCUUCUAACAUCACCCAUUAAGGGCAUACUAGUCCUUUUGUUUAGUCUUUAUCACGUGGUAAAGUAGUAUUAAUCCUCAAUCGAUGUGGGAUCAAUAUUGUCCCUAACACCCCGGUUGCAAGUAGAUUGGUUUUUUGGUUUGGCCCUUGUCACCUGGUAAGAUAGUAUUCAUUAUCAACCGUUAUGAUAUAUUGCCCCUAAGACCCUCAGUCAUGAGCAAAUUGGUCUUUUAGUCUAGUCCUUAUCACUUGGUGAGAUAGUGUUCACCUUUAGUCGAUGUAGGAUAUUGUCCCUCCCCUAUCACAUGUAGACUAGUCUUUUAGUUUGGUUGUUGUCACCUGGUACAUUCGUGCAUGACAAUGGCUCAAAUAUCAUAUGGAAGUUCAUAAAUCUUUCUCAUACUUAAAAACUUGUUCAAUAGUUGAAGGUUACCCAAACAUUAUAUACUUAACACAAGUCUCAUCCUCAGUCGAUGUAAAAUAUUUUCCCUAACAAUUUGUCUCCACUUUGAUUAUUGAUUAAAAAAGAUUAAUUGUCAAUGAACAUAAAAAUUGAUUGACUCACUUUUGCUAAUUAAUAAUAAGUCAUCCUUAUUUGUGAUAUGGGCGCUCAAAUAAUAGUAAAUUUUAUUACAAUAGGAAUGUUGAAAAUAAAUUUUAAAGUGCAAAUAACUCUACAUUUUUUCUUUUUAUACUCAACUAACUCUACAAUAUGUAAUUUUUUACAGGGUAAAAAAUUAUUUUGUCCUUAUAUUUUGAGGUUGGUUCUCAUUUAGUCUUUAUAUUUUUAAAAUACCUUAAAAUGUUUCUGUCGUUAAAUUAUUGAUACCCAUGUCAUUACCUUUUAUUCAUUUUGAUUUGUUUUUAUAAUAUUACCCUCUUAUAAGAAUGUUUCUUUUUUUUGGGGACAUUAAUAAAAGGGGGAUUGCCAAUUUCCCCCUUACAGUAAUCAGUAUAUACCAUUUCCCCCCUACUAUUUUUAUAAUGGCCAAAAACCCCCUUGACAGCAUAAGUUUACAAUAUUACCCUUAUUUUCAACUACUCUUUUAUUUACAUUUAUUAUAAAUUAAAUAAAUUGCAUGAAUAGAAACUAAAUAAAAAAAUUAAGUAUUAAAAAUAAGAAACAUAUGUUUUGAUAUAAGAAAAAAUUAAUAAUAAAUUUUUUUUGUAAUUAUUUAUUUUGUGAACAUUUUCUUAUAAUAAAAUUUUGUAAUAUUUUAAAAUUAGAUGUAAAAAAUAUGGGCAAAAUAUUUUAUUAUUUAUCUUAUAAUAAAUUUUUAUUUGUCAUUCAAGUUUUCUUAUAAUAAUUUUUUUAUCAUUUUAUAAUAAUUUUUUUAUAUAUUUAUUAUAAGAAAAUUUUCACAAAAUAAAUAAGUACAAGAAAAAAAAAUUCAUCACAUCCAUGUAGAGCCUACAUAUUAAAUAAUAUAAGACCAUCAUACACGAUCGAUAUUAUAGAUGAAAAAAAAUUAAGAGAUUCCUUACAUAAUAAUAAUGUAAGUUAUAUUUAUCAUAAUGUUGCAUUAAAUAAGUAUAGAAUUGUAUUAAAUAAAUUAUAUUUAACUUGUUUAGUGGAACUUUGUAAUUAAUGUAAUUUACAUAUUAUGUAAGGAUUAAAGUCCUGAAAUAAAAGAAGAAGAAACUUAUGAUCAAUCUUUUACGUAGGUGUGGCAGAAAAAAUAAAUAAAUGCAUUAUGAUAUUAUGGAUGAAAUGAUUGAUGCAUGUGUCUACGGUCUACAUUUAGUAAAUAUCCAAAAAGAUAAAUGCAUGUGUUUAUGGUCCAAAAAAAAAGAAAACAAUAAGAAACUCGUGAUUCAAUCUUUGCCACAAAGUUUGUUGGUGGCUAUCCAAUGAAACACUAUUCGGCAAAAUAAUCAUUCACCCAACUUUUUCAUAUUUUCUAAAAAUUAUUUAAUUAUUAUUUUAUUAUUUAGUAUAAGAUGUACAAUUAUUUACGGGAACAAAAUGAGGUUUAUCCUAAGCAAGAACAUAACAUCAGACGAAAGCGAAAGAGAAAGAGAAAAAAAAAUUAAAAAAAAAAUAGCACUCUGAAAGAAAGCGAGAAGCAUAAAUCAAAGAAACUGAUAACUGGGAAUCUAUUAACAUCAUUACAAAGUAACUCUUGCAUAGCAAUAGGCGGCCUUUUCUAUCAAGUAAAAUCAGAACAGUGGAGAUCGGCCAUCGUACUAUUUGCUGCGCAAGUGUGAGUGCAUCAAAAAUUCGCGGUUGAGAUGUUAAUUUUCCUUCACUGAAAUUAAUAUAUAUUAUUUAUUUUCUUAUAAUUUUUAUAAUAGUUAAUAAUUUUUCUGACAGUAUAAUUUUACAGUAUUAUUCUUAUUCUGCUGUACGGCNNNNNNNNNNNNNNNNNNNNNNNNNNNNNNNNNNNNNNNNNNNNNNNNNNNNNNNNNNNNNNNNNNNNNNNNNNNNNNNNNNNNNNNNNNNNNNNNNNNNNNNNNNNNNNNNNNNNNNNNNNNNNNNNNNNNNNNNNNNNNNNNNNNNNNNNNNNNNNNNNNNNNNNNNNNNNNNNNNNNNNNNNNNNNNNNNNNNNNNNNNNNNNNNNNNNNNNNNNNNNNNNNNNNNNNNNNNNNNNNNNNNNNNNNNNNNNNNNNNNNNNNNNNNNNNNNNNNNNNNNNNNNNNNNNNNNNNNNNNNNNNNNNNNNNNNNNNNNNNNNNNNNNNNNNNNNNNNNNNNNNNNNNNNNNNNNNNNNNNNNNNNNNNNNNNNNNNNNNNNNNNAGGCGGAUGUACGGUACAGCAGUACUUAUUAUAAAUUAAAUAAAUCAUAAAAAUAGAAAUUAAAAUGUAUUUUUUGAAGUGAACAAAAAAUUAAUAAAUUGAUGAUUUUCUUAUACUUUUUUUUAAAUGUUUGGUUAUAAUAAAUAUAUCUUUUAUAUUUUCAAGUUAAAUUAUCAAGAAAAAACCCAUUUAUACCACUUUUCCUUUAAACAUUUGGUGGUAGGAAAAUUUUGGCUAUUAUAAAUAUCAUACAGUGUAAGUGAUACAUGUUAAUUUCAAUAAACGAAAAAAUUGACAAUCUCUUAAAUUUCAUAUCUAAGAGUUUGACCUUACAAUUCUACCAAUGAUGUUUGAGACACCAAGGAGAACCCAAAGAACCUAUAUGUAGGAAACUAACAAUCACAACUGAAUCACUCAAGCCAAAGAUUAUACGAUAUUUUGCGAUCCUCUAUCAAAGGCCAAUUCAAUUACCAUGAAAGCAGCCAAAAGCUCAGAAAAAUAUGCUGAAUUUUUAACUUCAUGCCAAUCCAAAACCACCCAAAUGAUUCCUAAAAGCUCCACCUCAAGCCAAUUGUACGGUUUCCUUUCGAUAAGCCGUCUGAAUCCGCCUUAAUCCAUCAAAGAUUGAGGUGGAUGAUUUAUAAUCAAACAAACUAAGAGGCUAGUUUGGGAUUGUGGUGGCUGAUAAAAUAAACUACUUCUAUUGAUACAGAUGAAAUAAGCAGCUGAUUAGAAAAGUAACUUGGUGUUUGGUUAACUAUGUUAUUACGGUUGCUGUGAGUUUGAAAAGUAAAAUACACAUGUUUAAUAAAUUUUAUUACAAAAGUGUUAUUUUAUUAUAUAAUGAAUAAAAUAGACAAAAGUUUAAACUGCCUUUUACUUUAGUAUGUUUAAUAAAUUGUGUAGACAUGCCUUUUUUCUUUUAAAAGCACAUAAAAUUACAAAAAGUGCAAAAAACUCAAUUGAAUAAUAUCUAAUGAACUUCAUAAUCUGUCAUAUAAAAUAUAAUAAAAAUUCAUACUCAUACAUAAUCUAAAUAAAAUAAAAAGAAAUAUGCAUACUUUCACAUUAAACUUGUUAUAAUAAUAAUCCUCAAAUUUUUCAUUCUUGUGAUCCAGAACCAUUAAUAUUGUAAUACUCUUCUUGAAUGUCAUCAUCUCUUUCUAUUCCUUUAUCAAAGAUUGAAUUAUGAUCAUUUUCAAUGUUGUCAAAAUAAAGACCAUAUUGUGCAUGCCUCCUCGUAUAAUUGUGUAAUGUCAUGGCUGCAAUGACAUAAUUGUUAUUAGUGUAAUUUGAUUGUGGCAGUAAUAUAAUAUCUAAUGAUUCAUAUAUUAGAAAAUUGUGGUUGCUUAUUUAAUAAGUUGCUUAUAAAAAAUAAAUCCUUACUUGCUUUUAAAAGUUGUUAUCAAAAUAUAAAAAAUUACAAAAUAAGUAAUUUUUAUAAAAUUUAUCAAACACUAUUUUUGUAAAAAUUAUGAAAUAAGCAUCUUAUUGAGUUUCAACCUUAAUUUACAAAUAGUGCCUAAGUAACUUUGCCAAAAUUGAGAGGAAUUCCGAGGAAAAAAAGAAUAAUGUUUAGUAUAUUUAUAAUAAAGGACAAGACUCAUUAUGUUCCCUUAAUUUGUGCUAUUUUUUUAUUAGUUUUCAAUAAAUUCCUUGGAUCAUUUAAAAAAAUAUAUAUCAAUCAACACUAAAUUUAAUAGCCCCCAGGGGUAACUAAAAAUAAGAUGGAUAACGCAAGUAUGAAAAUUUUCUAGCUCCAAUAAUUAAAUUAAAAUAACUAAUAAGUUGUGAUUUUUUCCUUAUGUCUAUAUGUUGGUGUGUAACGAGUAAUUAAAAAAAAUCUAAUUAAAAUUGAAAGACCUUUUUUGUUGUGAUGGCAAGAUUAUAUGUAUAUUACCCAAGUGUCAUCCCGGAAAAUAAAAAAUAAAACCAUUCACAAGAGAUCUUCUUUUUGAAAACUAAAUCACUUGAGAUAUGGAACUUUUAAAUAAUCAUGCCACAAAGGAUUACAAACCGUUGCAUUCUACGGUGCAUAUAGAUUUUGGAAGACCGUCCUAAUUUUCUUGUCAAGUUCAUCUGAAUUAAACAAUUUUCUAUAAUUUCACAAAUCAACUGGUUUACUUUAAUUUGUUCCUUUUUUGAAUCGACCGUUUAGUCCCAAAGACACAGCAAAUUCACCCAUGAUUUCUUGUUAUUUCUAUCAAUGAACUGGGACCAUUCAUUUGACAAUAUGACAGGUCCGUUUAUUGCGUUUUCUCCGCACACUAGGACUGAAUGAUAAGGCAUCGUCCGAUUAUGUGGUGUGGAUUUUAAGGGCAUUUUAUCUCGUGUCUUAUUACUAUUGUUUGCAUCUUAUACAAGAUUGAUUUGGAUGAUGAGAAAGAUUUCAAAGAAUUAUUAGUUUGAAUCCACUUUUCUACCUCUAAAUUUUCCAUGGGCCGCAAUCCACGGCGCAUAUUGAAUCAGGUGGGGUCUAAUAACUACUGAGAAUAAGAUCAUGUGUUUAUCAUUUGGGUUCAGUUAUAUUAGAAUUCACCUAUAUAAAGCAUGAAUCUUAACCAUAUAUACAAAGUAAUAAAUAAUAAAUUAUAAAUUAUAAAUUAUAAUCAAUUUUUUAUAAUUUCUUUUUUUUGAUGUAUAAUUAAAAUUCGUACUUCACCUGGGCUUCAACAAAAUCAUAUUCUUAUCAUUUUUUAUUUUCUAUAAGGUAGCUGGUAUUGGUCGAAAUUAUAUUUCAUGUUUACAGCUGCGAUUUCAAUUGCGGUCGAGAAAUGGCCGACAAUUUUUUUUUUUAUUUGUUUUGUUUUAUUCACAUAACAACCGCUCAAGUCAAAUCAAAAGUCGGAUAAGAUUUUCCAUAUCUAAAGCAAAAGCCAGAUGGAUAAUUAUAUACGACAGUGAUCAUGUUGUAUUAGCCUAUAUAUAUUGGUUUUGGCAAGAUGACAAUUCGUACGGCAAUACAAAUGCUUGAUCUUAUCAGAUCGAUGAUUGCGAUUGUGUUUUCGCCGCGUAAUAUGACUUAAUGACAAGGCAAACGUCCGAUUCUGCGGUAUAGAUUUCAUGAACAAUGUUCAUCAUGCGUUUCCUAUGACAAUUACCAGAAUUGAUUUGGAUGAGAGCGACUUUAGGGAAUUAUUAGUUUGUGUGAUGGUCCAUACUGAAAAUAUAUGCAUCAGCAAUUUAACGUAUAAAAUAAAGAAAUAAUAGCCAUUAUAAAUAUACAGAGUCCGGUUGCAAGUGCUGAAAGGAUCGAUUAAUAAUAUACAGAAUCUUCUUCAGAUAAAAAUCAAGAAAUUAAUCGGAUCAAUCUUUGGUGGGGGCGGUAAUGUUUGAUGUGGCUUAAGAAAAGUGAUGAUAUUUGACCCCUCAAUAUAUUUCAACAGCCCACUUCUUAGUUAUCUCUAUUAAUUUUCAAAAUACCCUUAUUCAUUUAGUUUUUUUUUUUUUGGUCUUAUUCAUUUAAUUUAACUCUGCAGCUCCAAACUCAUUGAAUUUCAAGUCACAUGUUGGCCAACAAUGGUCUUGGAACUGAAAAUAUGACUUUUCAUAAGUUAUUGUAGACACAUAGUACUUAUAUUAAAAGCAUUAACUCACUAAAAUAAAUAAAUCAAUACAAAUUGCAAACGGAAAAAAAAAACAAAAAGCCACAGAAACUAUUAGAAACCUUGGAGAAUGAUGGCUGAGUCAUUGGAUUGUUGGUAUCAGUAUUGUCUUCAAAUUUUCAAUCUUUAAUAUAAAAAUCAAUUGUUGUGAUGGGUGUUUGGCAGGAAAGGAAAUGAAAGAAGUGAAGGAGAAUGAGAGAUAGGGGAGAGAAAAAAAAUGGGUACUUUUUGAAAAUAAAAAUUAUUUUAGUAAGUAUUUUAGACAUUUUAAGUUAAAAAUGACUUAAUGAGAUAAGUUUUGGAGGUCAAAUAUCACUAUUUCCUUAAAAAAGAGUGAAGCCAUUGGCGCCCCCUCAUUAUCUUUAUAAAAUCCCGCCUCAAAUAAAAUUAUAGUUAAGGAUAAAAAAAUAUGUGUUUGGUAUGAUUUAUCUAAAUAUUAUAAAUACUUAUUUAAUCUUGUAAGCUCUUAUUAAAAUUUAUUUUGUUGUUUGAUUUUUUUUUUUUUUUGUAAAGUUUUUAAAGCUUAAAAAGUUAUCUUACCUUUACUAGCAAAAGCUUAAAUUUUGAGUUUUUUAGAAUAGAGAUUAAAUAAUUUUUUAAACGUUAAAAUAUCUAAAAUAUCUUCUACUUAUUUGAUAAUCUUAUUUUAUUCUUUCUAUAACAUAACUUUUAGAAAUUUACCUAUUAAAGUAAUUUUAUAAUUUUUAAUAAAAACUAUCAUUGACCACUAAAUAACUAAAAGAAAUUAUUUACAAAAAUUAAUUCUAUAAAUUAAAAUAACUUACCUCCCCGGCAACGGCGCCAAAAACUUGUUUUGCAAAUUUUAUUGAACUCGCAAGUACACGAAUCUAUUGUAAUAUAGAUUAAUGGUGACGAGUGUCGAUCCCACGAGGAGGUGGAUUUUAAUUGUGUGUAGAAUUAAUUUUUCUAAGUGGGUGGUUGGAUUUGUGGUAAAGAUCAUUUGGAAUAUUCUAAAAUUUAAAUUAAAAUGACGAUAAUAAAUUGAAGUGAAGAUCUAUUGAAAUGACGUACUUGGGUAUCUGGAUCCGCAUCAACAUGCACCAUGGGCUAAAUAUUCCUUAUUAAUGCUAAUUAAAUCAUGAGGGGGGAUUUUCACUCCUCAUGAACCACACUCUAAUCAAUAUGGUGCUUAGAGCUUAUCGUGCCAAAUAAUAAUAACCUUGUACUAGGGAGCCGGUGAAACCAGGGCGGUAUCUAGACAAUAUUAUUAUUAUUUGUCGACGAAAAGUCAAAACAUCCACAAUAAUUAGAGGGGAAUAGAAAGUAAAUUUACCAAAUAAAGCCCAUGACACAUGUUGAGACUUCACCUUCAACCCAAGCUUGAAAGAAAAUUAGCUACUCAUAAUUGAACUAGGGGCAAAAUGAGAAUUUAUUAAAAUACAUAGAAAAUACAAGAUGGAGAAUAAAUUACAGAAAAUGGAGCCCAAAAAUGGAUUCAGGGAUGCCAAAUUAGGGGGGAGAGACCCAUUUUUAUAGAUACAUUGAGUAAAUCAUGGCAAUCGAAUUAAAAACAAUUUGGACGCUUAGGAUUGUGUCAUGUCAUCAGUCAACAGUACGCAGUUUGACCACGUGAUUUGAACAGUCAAUCGGCUUGAACAGUGACGCGGUUUGGUUGAAAAUAAUCCUGUGUAUAUGCAUGUACCGUACGCGUGAUUUUUGGUCCACUAACAUGCUACCACGCCACCGAUCAACAGUGCAUAAGAAUUUUUUCCAAUGGAAUCGUGACACCUCAUCAGUCAAUGCCACAUCGUCAGUCAAUGCCACGUCAUCAUUCCGAAUGUGUGAACAGUGUCGUGAACAGUAACAUGGACAGUACCGGACAUGUGAACAAUGUUAUUUUUCCUUUUAUGCUCCUCCUAAGGUUUUCAACUGUCCUUAGUUCAAAAGUGAUGUCCGUUUUGCUGUCUGAAUUCUUGUUCAUUGUAAAAUGACCAUGAUGCCCCUAAAAUACAUAAAAUACUUAAUUAAAAUAAAACACAUAUAAUUAAAUUACAAGAGACUAAAAUACAUAAAAGUAGAAGUGUUAGUAAGACUUGAAAUAUAAAAUGACGAUUUUCUCCUUUAUAAGUAUACACCUUCUAAUACUCAACAAUAUACCUGUAAAUCUGGGUAGAAAUCAUUUUCUAGCAAGAGUUUCCAACCCUUUCUCACCAAUAUGAUCAAUGUUGUGCAAAUUUUAUUGAACUCGCAAGCGCAUGAAUCUAUUGUAGAAUAGACUAAUGGUGACGAGUGUCGAUCCCACGAGGAGGUGGAUUUUAAUUAUGUGUAGAAUUAAUUUUGUAAAUGGGUGGUUGGAUUUGUGGUGGAAGUGAUUUAAAUUAUCCUAAAAUUGGAAUUGAAAUGGCGAGAAUAAAUUCUAAAAUUGGAAUUGCAAUGGCGAGAAUAAAUUAAAGAGAAAUCUAUUGAAAUGACGUACUUGGGUAUCUGGAUCCGUAUCAACAUGCACCAUGGGCUAAAUAUUCCUUAUUAAUGUCAAUUAAAUCAUGAGGGGGGNNNNNNNNNNNNNNNNNNNNNNNNNNNNNNNNNNNNNNNNNNNNNNNNNNNNNNNNNNNNNNNNNNNNNNNNNNNNNNNNNNNNNNNNNNNNNNNNNNNNNNNNNNNNNNNNNNNNNNNNNNNNNNNNNNNNNNNNNNNNNNNNNNNNNNNNNNNNNNNNNNNNNNNNNNNNNNNNNNNNNNNNNNNNNNNNNNNNNNNNNNNNNNNNNNNNNNNNNNNNNNNNNNNNNNNNNNNNNNNNNNNNNNNNNNNNNNNNNNNNNNNNNNNNNNNNNNNNNNNNNNNNNNNNNNNNNNNNNNNNNNNNNNNNNNNNNNNNNNNNNNNNNNNNNNNNNNNNNNNNNNNNNNNNNNNNNNNNNUAUUUGGUAAUUUGAUUAAUGACAUUAUUUUCUUUAUACAUUUUUAUAUUUAAAUUAAAUUAAAAAUAUUUGAAAAAAAUUAUUGCGGGUUUGGUGGAUAUCCAUGCGGGUAUCCACCGGAUAUAAGGUUAAUACCAAACCCACCCGCAUCCAUGUGCGGGUUUUAAUUUAUAAUACUAACCCCGCCCGCAACGGGUAAAAUUACCCGCAACGGGCGAGUUUUGGCGGGUGGGUUUGGACGGGUUUGCGGGUUUGCGGGUACAAUUGCCAUCCCUACACUCAACACACCCCCCAACCAGCUUAUUGCUAGUCCCUAGCAAAUAAAGCGAAAACGAAAUUCAAAUCCAAAAUGAUUUUUUUUUUUAAUAGAGACACUCGUGUUUAUUCAAUCAGAUUAAUGAUAGCAAUCAAAUAAAAGUAUAAGCAUUAUCUCCAGUCUAAAGAAAUAUCACACCUACAUCAAUCAUCCACAUGAAUCAGCCCAGUAGACUUUGUCAUAGCUACUUUCAAGAAUGACAUGUCAAACCCCAAAAUCUCACUGGAAGUAGUGACACUCUCACAAAGAAAUUAAACCCAAUAAAAAUAGUCACUCCAAUGAAUGGUAAUUGAGAGAAAAUAAUAAAGAAGUGAUAUCACAUGCUCUCACCAAGAUGAAAGAAAUAUGCCCUCAGCUUAGAAAUAAUACGAUCUCAAGUCAAACAAAAAUGCUAGUCAACCCAUUUUAUUUAUCUUUUUUUUAUUAUUAUUAUUAUGCACUACUACAUCUUUUUAGCCCAUAUAACUAGCUUCUACUUCAAACUAUAGUUCCCUAAAAUCAAGAAGGACUUUUGUUAGGAUGUAACGUAGGCUAGGGACAUGGCUAACAUGGAAGGGAAAUAAGGAAAACAAAAUAUAUGUUUGAGAAAAAUGCAGAGAAUUUUUUUUUUUUUUUGAAGUUGCAAUGUGUAUUUCACCUAUUGUAAUUUCACCUAUUGUUGAAAUUACAAAAACGUCUUAAGUGGGAACUUAAGAAAUCUAAGCAGGAAUUAGGCAGUUUUUGUAAACAAUUCAAUUAUGACCCCUUUAAAACUUCUACUUCAAAAGAUUGUAACGGUGAGUGCUCUUCAAGACCUUACAAAAAACGUUACAAGUCUAAGAGCCAUAGUCAUAGUUGUAAUCUUCUUUCUGAGUUGGCUUGCUGCAUGUCAAAGUUGAAUUUCUUGAUGGCCCAAUAUGCACGAUGCUCGAGUUCCACAGGUAGGUGGCAAGCUUUUCCAUACACUAGCCUGUAGGGUGAUGCUUUUCAAAAAUCCUAUCACCACCUUGUAAUCAUUAGAUCUACAUGGAAUUACUUCUACCCAUUUCAAUACGUAGUCAACAACAACCAAUAUGUAUUGAUGACCAAAAGAAGGGGGAAAGGGUCUCAUGAAGUCGAUACCCUAUACGUCAAAAAUCUCAACCACUAACUGCUGUACCGUACAUCUGCCUUGGCCGUACAGCAGUAAAUCAUGAGGGGGGUUUCCAAUUUGAUAUGCAUAAUACUUGAACAAAUACAAGUCAUCCCAAAAGAAAUUCUUUAUUUCUGCAAAGAAUUUAGCCUUGUCUUGCUUGGUCCAAUGCUCUAAAAGUUUACCUGUAACAAGAUAAUUAACUAUAUCAGCAUACCAAGGUAAUACUUCCACACUCAUUAAUUGUUCAUCUGGAAAUGACUCAUUCAAUAUUAAUGGCUCUGUAAUUGUGUCAAAAUGGAGACGAGAGAGGUGGUCCGCCAUAACAUUUUCUAUCCAUUUCUUAUCUUUGAAUUCCAAGUCAAAUUCCUGCAAAAGUAACACCCAACGAAUUAGUCUAGCUUUUGCAUAUUUCUUUGUGAGAAGUUAUUUAAGAGCAGCAUGAUCUGUGAAUAUAAUUACUUUACAACCAAUGACAUAAGAUCAAAAUUUCUCUAAUGCAAACACUACUGCUAGCAAUUCUUUUUCAGUAGUUGAAUAGUUCAACUGUGCAUCAUUCAAUGUCAUACUAGCAUAGUAAAUAACGUGGGGAAUUCGAUAAACUCUUUGUCCUAAAACUGCUCCUACUGCAUAAUCAGAUGCAUCACACAUGAGCUCAAAUGGUAAGCUCCAAUUUGAGGGCUGGAUGAUGGGUGAUGAUGUCAACAAUUGCUUUAAUUUUUCAAAAGCCACAAGACAUGAAUCAUUAAAGAUAAAAGGUACAUCCUUAGCAAGUAGAUUGCAUAAGGGUCUAGAAACUUUGCUAAAAUCUUUAAUGAAACGUUUAUAAAAGCUAGCAUGCCCAAGGAAAUAUCUUACUUCUUUGACUGUUUUGGGUGGAGGAAGAUUAGAAAUAAGAUCCACCUUGACUUUGUCAACCUCAAUACCUUUGCUCGAAAUGAUGUGACCAAGAACAAUACCUUGUUCUACCAUAAAAUGACACUUCUCCCAAUUCAAGACUAAGUUCUUUUCGAUACAUCUCUGUAGAACUAAUGUUAGAUGAUGUAAAUUGAAAGUGAAAGUGGUCUUCUCUUGAUCUUUUGGUGCUAUGAGAAUCUGAUUAUAUCCUGAGUAGCCAUCUAGAAAGCAAUAAAAUUCAUGGCCUGCUAAUCUAUCAAGCAUUUGAUCAAUAAAUGGUAAAGGAAAAUGGUCUUUACGUGUGACAGAAUUCAACUUUCUAUAAUCAAUGCAUACACGCCAUCCUGUAGUUACUCUAGUUGGUAUCAAUUCAUUAUCAGCAUUGGUAACUACUGUGACGCCUGACUUUUUGGGGACAACUUGUACAGGACUGACCCAUGAACUAUCAGAAAUUGGGUAAAUGAUACCUGCGUCUAAUAGCUUAAGGACUUCUGUUCUAACAACUUCUUUCAUAUUAGGAUUUAACCGACGUUGAAUUUCCCUAGUAGAUUUAGCAUUUUCAUCAAGGUGAAUAUAAUGCAUGCAGUCUACUGGAUUUAUACCUUUGAUGUCUGCUAUGGUCCAUCCUAAUGCCCCUUUGUGCUCUUUCAAAACAUCCAACAACUUACCUUUUUGUUCGUCAUUGAGGGAUGAUGAGAUGAUUACCGGCAGAGUACUUUCUUCUCCCAAAAAUGCAUAUUCCAAUGUGUUGGGUAAUGGUUUGAGCUCGAGUUUCGGUGGUGAUUCUGAUGAUGGGAUGAGUUUCUUCUCUGAUGGUGCUAGUUGUUCAACUAUUGACUUCCAUUUAUUAGUGUCUAUGGAUGAUACUAAGUCAAGCAGGGGUUGACCUCAUCAACCGAUCUGUCAAUAUCAAAAUCCAAACCAAAAUGAGUAAGCAUGUUUGUAAAGGGUCAUCACUGAGGUUUGAAAGAAAAGUAUCAUUAACUAAUGCUUCAAUUAAAUCCACAUCUGCAUUGUGAGGUUGUUUGGCAAUGUUGAAGAUGUUCAGCUCCAUAGUCAUGUUGCCGAAGGACAACUGCAUAUUUCCAGUCCUGCAUUGAAUGUGAGCAUCCGUAGUUGCCAAGAAAGGUCGGCCUAGAAUAAUGGGGAUGUGCUUCCUUGAAUCCUGUAUUGGUUGAGUGUCAAUUACAAUGAAAUCAACAGGAAAAUAAAACUUGUCUACCUGGAUAAGCACGUCCUCCACAAUACCACGAGGUAUUUUCGUGGACCGAUCUGCAAGCUGUAACACCACUGGAGUUGGGUGUAAUUCUCCAAGUCCAAGUUUCAAAUUAACGUUUUCUGUUAAAAAUGCCUUCUUUUGAACAUGCAUAUUUCUUUUUUUAGUACAAAGGUCUUUAAGAAACUUGACAUAAGAUGGAACUUGUUUAAUAGCAUCAAGUAAAGGGAUGUUAACACUUACCUGUUUAAAGAUUUCAAGAAUCUCACCUGUGGAUUUUCCCUUCUUUCCUUUCGCUAACCUCUGAGGAAAUGGAGCUUUGGGAACAUAUUCGCGUUGGUUGGUUUCUUCGUUCUCCUCUGGUGAUGAGUCUUCAACAUUCACAGGUACAAUUUGAUUUUCUUUUGUCACCGGCAUCUCCACUUUGUUGUCGACUUCCUUUCCUUUUCGCAAGGUCAUGACUGCUUUGACCUCGCAUCUCCACUUUGUCGUCGACUUCUUUCCCCUUUCGCAAGGUCAUGACAACUUUGACCUCUCCAUGCUGCUGUGGUGAACUGGUACUUGCUUUAUGUACUCCUUUAGGAUUAGGCACUGGUUGACUUGGAAAUUUACCUUUCUCAACAGUCAUUGCCAAGGUCUGAACUGAAGAAGCAAGCUGNNNNNNNNNNNNNNNNNNNNNNNNNNNNNNNNNNNNNNNNNNNNNNNNNNNNNNNNNNNNNNNNNNNNNNNNNNNNNNNNNNNNNNNNNNNNNNNNNNNNNNNNNNNNNNNNNNNNNNNNNNNNNNNNNNNNNNNNNNNNNNNNNNNNNNNNNNNNNNNNNNNNNNNNNNNNNNNNNNNNNNNNNNNNNNNNNNNNNNNNNNNNNNNNNNNNNNNNNNNNNNNNNNNNNNNNNNNNNNNNNNNNNNNNNNNNNNNNNNNNNNNNNNNNNNNNNNNNNNNNNNNNNNNNNNNNNNNNNNNNNNNNNNNNNNNNNNNNNNNNNNNNNNNNNNNNNNNNNNNNNNNNNNNNNNNNNNNNNNNNNNNNNNNNNNNNNNNNNNNNNNNNNNNNNNNNNNNNNNNNNNNNNNNNNNNNNNNNNNNNNNNNNNNNNNNNNNNNNNNNNNNNNNNNNNNNNNNNNNNNNNNNNNNNNNNNNNNNNNNNNNNNNNNNNNNNNNNNNNNNNNNNNNNNNNNNNNNNNNNNNNNNNNNNNNNNNNNNNNNNNNNNNNNNNNNNNNNNNNNNNNNNNNNNNNNNNNNNNNNNNNNNNNNNUUUCCCUGCGAAUAGCAUUGGUUUUAUGCACUGGGAAAUAUUUAUUCAAAAAUUUAGUUACCAUUUGUUCCCAUGAUGUAAUGUUAUUGGCAGGUAAUGUAUUUAACCAUGAACGAGCUCUAUCCUUUAAAGAAAAUGGGAAUAAUCUGAGUUUAACAUCAUCGUCUGAAAAAUUUUCAUAUUUAAAAGUUUGACUGUCUCUUAGAAAUUCCAAUUUUAUUAAGUAUAAAAUCAUCCUUUUUCCCCCGUUCAUACGUAUUUCAUACCUCUUAACUGCUGUACGGCCAAGGCGGAUGUACGGUACGAGUGUUUUAUCAAGUUCAAGGUCUAUAGGUUCAAGAUUAGGUAAUAAUGACCUACGAGCAUGCAUGCAAAACAAAUAAAAUAAAAAAUAAAGAUGGGAACAAAAUAAAUAAAAUUAAAGAAGAAAGAGAAAUUACGAUACUAACCUUAUCACGCUGUUACAACCUUUCUAUAAAAACACACUAAAACAAAUACGUGAAAUAAAUUAACUAAAAAUUAAAUUAAUAAGAUAAACAAAAAAAAAUUAUAAAGAAAAGAAAUACUAACCUCUAAAUGCGGAUUCACUUUUUUUUUUUAUAAAAAAUACAAGAAAACAAAUAAAAGGAAUUAUUCACAAAAAUUAAUUCUAUGAAUUAAAAUUACUUACCUCCCUGGCAACGGCGCCAAAAACUUAUUGUGCAAAUUUUAUUGAACUCGCAAGCGCACGAAUCUAUUGUAGAAUAGACUAAUGGUGACGAGUGUCGAUCCCACAAGGAGGUGGAUUUUAAUUAUGUGUAGAAUUAAUUUUGUAAAUGGGUGGUUGGAUUUGUGGUGGAAGUGAUUUAAAUUAUCCUAAAAUUGGAAUUGAAAUGGCGAGAAUAAAUUCUAAAAUUGGAAUUGCAAUGGCGAGAAUAAAUUGAAGAGAAAUCUAUUGAAAUUGGAAUUGCAAUUCCUUAUCAAUGCCAAUUAAAUCAUGAGGCGGGUUUCCACAUCUCAUGAACCACGCUCUAAUCAAUAUGGUGCUAAGGGCUUAUCGUGCCAAAUAAUAAUAACCUUGUACUAGGGAGCCGGUGAAACCAAGGCGGUACUAAACAAGAUUAUUAUUAUUUGUCGACGAUAAGUCAAAACAUCCAUAAAAACUAAAGGAGAAGAGAAAAUAAAUUUACCAAAUAAAGCCCAUGACACAUGUUGAGACUUCACCUUCAACCCAAGUUUGAAAGAAAAUUAGCCACUCAUAAUUGAACUAGGGGCAAAAUGAGAAUUUAUUAAAAUAUGUAGAAAAUACAAGAUGGAGAAGGAAUUACAGAAAAUUGAUCCCAAAAAUGGAUUCAGAGAUAUUAAAUUAGGGGGGGGAAGCCCCCUUUUAUAGAUACAUGGAGUAAAUCAUGGCCAUUGGAUUAAAAAUAAUUUGGACGCUCAGGAUUGUGCCACGUCAUCAGUCAACAGUACGCGGUUUGACCACGUAGAUGAAUAGUAACACGGUUUGACCCGGGUGAACAGUGAUGCGGUUUGGUUGAAAAUAAUCCUGUGUGAUGCAUGUACCGUACGCGAGAUUUUUCGUCCACUGAUAUGCUGUCACGUCACCAUCAACAGUACAUAAGAAUUUUAGCCCAAUAGGAUCGUGACACCUCAUCAGUCAAUGCCACAUCAUCGGUCAAUGCCACGUCAUCGAUCCAUCUAUGUGAACAGUGUCAUGAACAGUAACGUAGACAGUACCGUACAUGUGAAUAGUACCAUUUUUCUUUUUAUGCUCCUCCUAAGGUUUUCGACCGUCCUGAGUUCAAAAGUGAUGUCUGUUUUGCCGUCUAAUCUCUCGUUUAUUGUGAAAUGACCAUGAUGCCCCUAAAAUACAUAAAAUACUUAAUUAAAAUAAAACACACAUAAUUAAAUUACAAGAGGCUUAAAUACAUAAAAGUAAGGGUUGUUAGUAAGACUUGAAAUGUAAAAUGAUGAUUUUCUCUUUUAUAAAUAUGUAUUUUCUAACACUCAACAAUCAAUCCUUUUAUGUCAUAUCUCAAUGUCAGAAUCUUUUACAGCCACAUUCACAUCUUCUUUCUUGAUCUUGGGUUCUAUAAGAUAGACAUCGUUUACUUUCCUCUCCUUAGCUAACACUAGGGAGCCUUUGGCGAGAUUCCAUUUUCCUUCACCAAAUUGGUUAGUAUAACCAUCAUCAUCAAACUUGCCUGUAGAGAUCAAAUUAAGGCGAAUAUUUGGUACAUGUCUAACAUCUUUAAGUAAUAACUUAUAGCCAAUGAUGGUCUCUAAGCAAAUAUCUUCUAUGCCCACAAUUAUGGAUGCCCCCUCAUUUCCCAUUCGAACAUGCCUAUAAUCACGAUGUGCAGUAACAUGAAAUGAAGCACUCGAAUUAAUUACCAAUCACUAGUAUGGAAAGUGAGAUUUACUGAGCUCUCAUCAUAAACAAUAUUUAAAUCACCAUCAACUAUGGCUGGAAUUUCUACUUUAGUUCCUUCCCCGCCUUUCUUGUUUUUUUGAAACAAGUGCAUCUGACUCAGAGGGAACUGCUUCAACACUCUUUCUUUUAGAUUCUUCAUUCCGCAACUUAUCUGUAACUAUAUGCAAAGUUAAUUUUUUCAUUCAGCGCUGAAUUAUUCACUAGUACUACUAAUAUCUCUCAACUGUCAAGCAAAAUUUGGUAAAAAAAGAGUUGAAGAGAUUAACCCAAAAGUUGGAACAACUUACAAAGAAUUUGAUAAAUUUUAAUGAAAAGUUGGGAUCUAAAAACAAAACUUGAUAUAUUUACCCAAAUGUUGGAAUCCAAUAAAAUGAGGGGGAAUAUAAAACCAAUAAAUGGUGGGAAAAUGAGUGGAAGAGCAUAACCCAGAAGUUGGAACGACAUGAUGAGAAUUUGAUAAUUUCCAAUGAAAAAUGGAUAUUUGAAAAAUAAACCUGAAACAUUCAUGCAAAUAUUGGAAUUCAGUAAAAAGAGUAUGAAUAUCAAACCAAAAUUUGGAGGGAAUAAGAGCUGAAGAGGUUAACCCCCAGGUUACUUUUAAUGGAAAGUAAGGAUCUAAAAACCGAACCUAAUAUAUUUACGCAAAAUGUUGGAAUUCGAUAAAAAGAGUAAGAAUGUAGUACCAAAAGGUGGUGGAAAAAUAAGUUGGAACAACUGACCAAAGACUAGAUAAAGUCUAAUGGAAUGUAGAGAUAUAAAAAAAUAAACCUAAAUAUCCACUUAAAAAGUUGGAAUUUAAUGAAAAAAGUGAAAAUAUGGAACCAAAUGUUGGUGGAAAAAUGAGUUAAAAAUAAACACUGAAUUUUUGUCUAUAAUAUUUUAUAGUGUGGUGAUAUUUUUACCACACAAAUUCUAUAAAUCCACUGCACUUUUAAAAAUUAAUUAUAAAAGAUUCACAUUAUUUUUAAAAAUUUCAAAUAAAGAAGAAUUCUAAAGAAUUAAUCAAUUAAAUCUAUCUUAAUAUAUAUUUUUUAUAUUUUAAUUUAUUUUUUUGUGAUUUAGAUUUUUUUAUUACAUUUGGCUAUUAAGAUUGCUUUAGUCUAAAUCGAAAUUGAUUAUUUUACCCUUAAAAAGUAAACAUACGAAAAGUUUACUUUAACAUUCUUUUUGUUUUAUACAAAAUUCAUUAUUUCCAAAUGGUCAAUUCUACUUUAUUAGUAUGAUUAUUAACUUUUAAUUAAACUAAGGUAAUAUUUUUAUGCAAAAUACUCAUGUAAAUUAUUAGACUAUCAAAUUUAUGUUAUAUACAAGUAAAAUAUUGAAAAUCAUUAGGCUGCAAUUAAAAAGUUAGAUUAUCUGCAAUUAAAAAGUUAGAUUAUAUGUCACAAAAUUAAGUACCUAAAGUAUUACAUAGAAGAACACAUUUUUCUUAGGGCGAUUAGGUCAUUUUAUGUCAUAAAGUAAAAUAAUUAAAUAGAACUUAUAUUAAAGCAACUUUAAUAGUAAAAAUAAACCUAAGAAAGAAAAAAAAAUAUAAGAAUGAUUUAAUAGAUUAAUUAUAAAAAUAUUUUUUAUUUGUAUUUAUUAGAAAUAAAGUACAUUUAUUGUAAAUAAUUUUUUUAUUUCCUCUUUAAAGUCAUAAAUUUUUUUCAUUAACCUUUUAUCCUUCAUUUUAAUCGUUUAAUUCGUCUUUGCAUGAUUUCAAUUUCAGUAUUACUAUAUCAAAUUAGGAUACCAUUGUAAUAUAAUUUAACUUUGAUAUGCACUAUGGCCUCGCCCAACGCCUAUUCGGGAUCCAAUAUGACUAGUCUCAAACACCAAAUUAGCAAAUUAUUAUGACCAAAGGAAUGGUUACAAUAGUUUGUAAACAGGUAUGGUUACUUUAAUUACACUAUGAAAUUAGCAAUUUAUUCAAUGUUGAAUUGAUCAUAGAAAUAGAACUAGUUGGAAAUGCAAUUACUUUGGCGAUAGUUGUUUUUCCAUAUAAAUUAUAAUAGUGAAGCACUUUCUUAUCACGGGCUUCUUUUCCACUCAAAAGCCUCAUCUAGUUUCGAGCGAGCUGAUUGAAAACUUUUUUCAAAUCUCAAUGCCAACAUGUACUUUUUUCUAACAUUUUAUAUCGUUUAUGCAAUAUCACCACACACGCUACAUUGAACCAAGCCUCACUGAAUAUAUAUUCAUCGGUAUAGUAUUGAAAUUAUCAAAAGAACAUUUUUUUGAAACAAUUCAGUAAAAAAAGAUCAAAAAAUAAAUUUAAUCGUACUAAGGUUCAAUUGUUCAAUGGCCAUUUAAAUUAAUAAAUAAUAUUCAUGCCUAACACUAACUAAGAGAUUAACAGUUUUUACCUCUAGAGCAUUUUCGUUAACAUCACUUUGAUUUUCUUCAUCAAGUUUCAUAAUACCAACUCCAAGCCUCUUGCAUCCAAAUCCCACUCUACAGUCUCAUGCUCCACCUGGUCCAAUUUGUUUCUCUCCAUUUAUUUCAAUUCAACUACCAUCCACUAAAAGAAAUUAUAUUAGUCUAGGUUGUGACUUGAAAUGUAUUACUUCAAAAAUAGGAAAACAAAUUUGUUGAAUUUUAUCGUUAAAUAAUUUAGUAAUGACAGAACUAAAUUUGAUCCUAUUUGCCUUUGCAAUGUUAUUAUAUUUAGUUGUAAUUAACAAUAUAUAUAUAUAUCUGCUGUACCGUACAUCCGCCCUACUUGUGACAUGGAAAAUAACACUUUUGAACAUUAAUAAGCAACAGUUGUGAUGAUAAGAGACUUAACAACAGAACUUGUGACAGGGUGUAAAUAACUUGGAACAUUAACACAUAAACAGUGAGAAUUGUGAAUUCAACCGGAAUAACCGGUUACUUUACAAUCAUUAUUGCACAUGUGUAACUUCAACAUGUCAUGGCAAAAUCAACCAUACAUACACCAGAUGCAUAGUAGGCAGACCCUCAGAGAAAUGGCCAACAAUUAUUUAUCCUGUGGCAAAACCGAAAUUACAUGUGAUGUAACUUACAACUAUUUACAUAAACAGUAUUUACAUGGGGUGAUCCUUAUCCUAUUUGUUUUGUUUUGUUUUGUUCACAUAACAAUCCGUCAGGUCAAUUGGGAUCCACUGAGAAAAGUCUAAGAAGGUUUUCGACGCAUAACGCUUAAGAGAAUCACGUGAUGUAGUGAAAGUCACAUUGGGACCCACUUGCGUAGAAAAUAGUCCCUCAUCACAUCCAUGUGGAGCCUACGUACAAAGUUAGUAUUAUAGAUGAAGAAAUCCCUAAGUAAGUUAUAUCACUUAUUUUAUUUGGUAAAAUUUUGUAAUUUAGAUAACUUACAUCAUUAUUCGAGGAAUCAAAGUCCUAAAAUAAAAGAAGAAGACACUUAUGAUCAAUCUUUUCAGUAGGUGUGGUAGAAAAAAUAAAUGCAUUAUGAUAUUAUGGAUGAAAUGAUUAAUGCAUGCGUUUACGGUCCACAUUUUGCGAUUAUCCAAAAAGAUGAACAAGGAAAUGUACAAAACACAGAAUUGAAUUGACAAAAGGAGAUAAUAGCAAUAAGAAACUCGUGAUUCAAUCUUUGCCACGAAGUUUGUCGGUGCCUAUCCAAUGUCGGCAAAAUAAUCAAUCAUCUAACCUUUGGAGUUUUUCCAAAAAUUAAGUUUUUAUUUAUUUAUUUUAUUACUUAAUCUAACACUAAUCUAACUCACUCCACGCUACAGGAUUUAAACUCUAAAUCUCUUAUGACGUAGGACAUUAUUUUAGAAUUAUAAGAUUUUUAUUAUUUAAAUUUUUUUUAAUUAGAGUUAACUAUGUAUUUAGUUUUUUAUUUUUAUUAUAAUUAUAAUUUACUUUCUUUUUUAGUUAACUUAGAAACAUAAGUUUACUUUAUUAUAAAUAAAAAAAAUUUAUUGUAAUUUUGACCUUUGAUCAAUUAAUAAAAUUCCUCUUUAUAAUUUUCUUUAGAAUUAUCUGUCAAAAAUCUCUCUUGUAAUGAUGGAACUUGGUAUCCCGUGAAGUCGCACAAUUUGAGCCAUAAAAACCUUGGCCACUGUCAUAGCUGUAUAUGGAUGUUUCAAAGCGACGAAGUGUGCAUAUUUUGACAUACGAUCCACGACAACCAUGAUGACAGUGUAUCCUUGUGAUGUUGGAAGCCCAUCUAUGAAAUCCAUAAAAAUUGAGGUCCUGAUUCUGUCUGGAAUCUGUAAAGGUUGAAGAAGUUCUGUUGGCUGGAGAUUCUCUACCUUACAUCACUGACAAACUUCACAGUGCCUUAUGAAUUUCUUGAUCUUUGCACGCAUUCUAGGCCAAUAAAAACUAGAUUUAAGUCAGCUGAGAGUUUUUUGAUAGCCAAAAUGUCCUCGAAUUGGUGAGGAAUGUGCUUCCUUUAAAAUAGCUUGUAAAAAUGAUGAAGCGGGACUCAAAUAAAGCUUUCCAUGUUUGUACCAAACUCCAUCUCGUUGAAUAAGUGGCUGAGUUGAAUUAGACAACUGACUAUAAAAAGGAUCGUGUGCUACUUCAUUCUGUAGAGUUGCCCACUAAUCAGCUAAAGGAAGAGAGAUUGAUGAAAAUUCAAGCUCUACUAAUCGUGAUAAAGCGUCGGCACCUCGAUUUUCUGAUCUUUUUUUUGCAUUGAAUUGUAUAAUCAUAGCCAAGAAUUUUUGGCAACCAUCAUGUCUGAGCCAUGGUUGUAAUGUGUUGUUCCAUUAAAAAUUUUAGGCUCUUUUGGUCUGUACGAACAAUGAAAGGCUUACCCAACAAAUAGGGACGCCAUUUGCGAAUUGCCUUGACGAUUGCAAGCAUCUCUUUCUCCACGUGGACAAUACCAACAUAGAACCCUGGAGUGCCUCACUAAAAAAUGCUACUGGCUUGUCAUUUUGUGAUGAUAUAGCUCCAAUACCGACUCCACAAGCAUCACACUCGACAAAAAAUGGCUGUGAAAAGUCCUGCAAUCGAAGAACAUGAGGAGAUGUUAAUGCGUGCUUCAACUGAGUGAAGGCAGAUUCUGCUUCUGAGGUCCAAUGCAAGCCUUCCUUUGUUAAUAGCCUAGUUAAAGGUGUUGCAAUUCCCCCAAAGCCUCGAAUGAACUUGCGGUAAUAACUCGCUAAUCUAAGAAAGCCCCUUACUUCUUUAGUCGAUGAUGGAAUUGGCCACUCAAGUACGGUUUGAAUUUUCUUUGGAUCAACAGCCACUCCUACAACGGAAAUAAGAUGACCCAAAUACUCUACCUGCAAAACUCCAAAACAACACUUUGAUUUUUUUUUAAACAGAGAGUUAUCAGAUAAAAUCUGCAAACCUGUUUUAAGAUGGAAAAUAUGAUUUGCCCAAGUUUUGUUGUACACCAAAAUAUCAUUAAAAAAACUAAGAAUUGAGACAAUCAAUCAUUUAAUUUAUUAUUUUGUUUCUAUUGAUUUUUUUUAUUCUUAUUAUGCCGAAUAUAUUAGCUCUAAAAUCUAUUAUCACCAUACAAUGUUUAAAAAAAUAUCUAUUGUAAUAAAAAAAAUCUAUUGUAAUAAAGAUUCUUAGAAUUUCAUAGAUUUUCAAAGAUUGAGUUAAUCAUUUUUAAUGUUGAUGUUGCCAUAGAUUGUUGUUAUAGAUAUAUGAACAAAAGAUGAGUAAAUGUAUGUAUGUGAGUGUAUUGUGUGUGUGUAUUCUUAAGUGCGGGCGUCCUUUUUUUUUUUCUUAAAGCGGAUACGUUAUUAGGUCAUAUGAUUUAAUAGAGUUAGUAUUCAAUUCAGUAUAAUGUGUCUGUAUGAAAAAAAAAUGAGAGCUCCCACAUGAGAGAAUGACUAUACAUAUAUAUAUAUAUUGGUCAUUUUGUUUCAGCGAAAAUCCAAUACAUGAAUGAAAACAAAAAAGAAUAUUUUCCUAAAUACUUUUUUCUGCUAGAAAUUAUUGCAGGUAUUAAUUGAUUUAACAAUUAGAUCAUUGGAGUUAUUGUAGUAUUAAUUUAGGAUUUAUCACUACUAGAAAAAUGGUCUUUACUGACUUUAGAAUAGUGUCAGAAAUUAUUUUCACUGACACUUGUUAAUUGUGUUAGUAAUCUGGGAGUCAGAAAAAUAGUAACACUUAUAAGUGGUGUCAGUGAUUACUAUUACUACAAUAUCACCGAUAUUAUGACACCAUAGUGUUAGUAGUUAUUGAUAUUUUAUUAGUAUCUAUGAUUACUGUUACCAUGGUAUCACUAGUUAAUUUAUUUUAAAAAAUAAAAAAUUGAAUUGGAUCAUUGCCUAUUGAUUUAUUGGUAAAAUUAAAAGGCACCACAAAAUAAAAAAAAAAGAAAUUGAUUUAUAUCACAAAAUCUUUCAUUUCACAUUUAAAUAUUAUUAGUAUAUAUUACAAAUUCCAAAACUUCAAUAACAAAAAUAUGAGAUAUCCUACUCUCAUAACUAAAUAAUCCAAAUUCAAUACAUAAAAAUUUCUACCAUCCAAUCAAAUGCCUACUACUUGUGGCUAAAUUUAAUAAAUCGAGAAGCUAAAUUGAGAAGGAUGAUUGCCUUUCACUCUUUGAAUAUGAGUAGUAUAAUUGCAUUAUCACACCAGCAGCUUCUCCAUUCAAUAGACUGUAUGGGUUAGGAUAUAAGUGAAGUUGAGGAAUAAACACUUCAAACACAUCGAUCAAGUCUGCAUAUGAAUACAUGGAAAAGAAAAAAAAAAUUAGCUGCCAAUAUCCAGCCAUUAGAGAAACAAUAAUUAAUAGAAAUAAAAUUAUUUUGUUCGAAAGAAAAAAAAUACCCAUAAGCUAUUUAUAAAUAAACUCAAUUAUUCUCUUUUGGUAAAGGUUAUAUAUAUAGCAAACUAUAGCAGACAAGAAGUUUUCAAUGUAAUAUCUACUUUCAGCACAAGCAUGUUACUCUAUCUACAUAUACCAAAUGAUUUUUGUGCAUAGUUAAAAGCUAUCACAAAUGUUCUAUUAUAAAUAAAUCAUUCCAAAAUCAUUACUUAUAAACAAGUCUUAUGAUUUUGGCCAUGAAUCUUAUAAAAUUUAAGAUACUUAAUACAUUGGAAUGAUAUUUUCCUGUUUUUAACAACACAUAUGAAUGAACAACGUAUUAAAAUUUGAGGUUAUUAUGAUAUUAUUAUGUUGAUGUUUUGUAAGAUCAAAAGUUAAUAAAUAAUUAUGUCAAAAGAACUUGCUGCAGAGCAGCAGAGUUUAAAAAAUCAUUAAAAAUAACCUGCAAGUUCAAUCAACAUAAAAAUUUUCAGAUUUGAAGUAUGCAUACAGAACUUUAGUUUCUCCGAAUUUCAGCUCAUUCAGAUAUGUUUAGGCUAUCGUUUUGCACCACCAAACAUGAUACAUGAGUAAUUUAUGAAAGAUUGGACAGCAACCAACCAUUUUACAAAAUCGAUUAAAAAUCAGUUAUAGACCCAAUUCAUUCCAAAAUUUCCAAAACUGAAAUAUACACAUUUAACUUUAAUUAUUUCAAACAUAUGGUAAACACAAUAUUUCCCAAAGUAGAUAUAAUGAGGGUUAUUUGGUGCCAAUAAAAGAAAAGAAAGUAGCAGAGAAAAAAACACAAUAAAAGCUAAAUCUUUACCUUCUUGUUUCUUCCAAGUAGCCAAAGAAACAAUACCUUCUAGUUUCUUCCAAGUAGCCAAAGAAACAUAGAAGCUCUUCUCCAAAUCACUUAUUUAAACCUAAAAGAACAAUUAAAACAAAAAAAAAACUCAAGAUCUAAUGACAAUAAGAGAGACCCGAAAUCAUAAAAUAAGAAAAGAAAUAAGAAGUGUGGAUUUUGAAGGCAAAUGGUGAACUUGUGCCACCGGUUUGACAGGAUCAUGGCUGAGCACUUUUUGACAAUUUUUUUUUUUAACCCAAAAAUGCCAAGCUGAUGUUUUCUCAUAUUAAUCAAUACAUUAAUAGAAUCAAAUUGAAGCUGUAAGAACUAAAAACCAGAAUGGGGAACACAAGAGAGAAAUUCUAUGCUGCAUUCUCCUUCUUGAGUUUUGCAAGCUCAUGUCGAAUAAGUCCACCCUUCUUGAUCUUUGCCAACAUGAGCUUGAACCUAUCAAAAUCAUUCAGUGCCGCUCUCCUUUUCUGGACAAUCAGCUUCUUGCCCCAAGAGCUGUUUUCCCAUUUGUUCUUCACAUCAGCCUUCUCAAUGGUUUCAAUCAAAGACUUCUUCUUGCCCCAAGAGCUGUUUUCCCAUUUGUUCUUCACAUCAGCCUUCUCAAUGGUUUCAAUCAAAGACUUCUUCCUAGGAACUCGAUUGAUGUCAAUCUUAAUAUCCGUGAGAGAAAGCCUCUUGAAGUUCAUUUGGCUCCUCACCAUAUCAGGGGCAUCAACAAGAGCCUAUAAAGCAUCACAAAAAUAAUAACAAUUGUAUACAACUAAAAAAUAAACGAAACAGUUCAAAAUUCAAAGAAAUCCAAGCUAAAAUCACUCUGUUUACAAAAGCACAUCAACUUUCUAAUUUGCUAUUUUUGUACAGAAAAAAAAGAAGGGGUACCCAGUUAUCAUCAAGUAAACCAAAAUAUUCAGAAUUCUUGUGACAAUUUUAUAAGAUUCAACUCAAAUAAAGCAUAAGCGUAAAGUGAAUAAAGGUACCCUGUUUUGAUCAAGGACAUCGACGAUGACCACAAGCUUCCCAUAGUCCUUGCCGUAAUUAACGAGAGCAACUCUUCCUAUCUCCACGUAUAAACUUUCAAUUAUCAACUACUUGUUGAAAAAAAAAAAAACUACGAGAGAUUCAAGUCAAUUAAUCAUUGUGUUGGUUAAUAUAAUAUUGUAAAUAUUCUGAGCAAACACAAUUAUUUAUUUCUAAAAUUGGAACAUCAUUCCGGGCAAAUGGAUGAACAAGCAAAGUUAGUUGGAUUCUCCAUUGUCUAGACACAAGAAACCAACCAAGAAAACAAGAACAAUAGUCAAGGUUCACUUAUAUAUAAAAUAACUAUUGAACGAUACUUUUGAGCCUACGUAUACUGCUACACUACUAUUGGCCGACAUGGCCGGCCUAUUACUUCCAGUCAUGCAUAGCAGCCUCAUGACUUUGCUGCUCAGGUUGCAGUUGGCCACGCUGAGGCUGCUCCUGCAUCUUGGUUCUGCUGCUGAUGCUGCAUCUGGAACAUCUGAUGAUUAAUGGAAAGCUGCUGAGCCAUGCGGCUUGAAAGUUGGGCCUCUCCAUUGACCUCUGCAGCAGCGAGCUUCAGUCUCUGUACUUCUGCAGCCAAUGCCUCGUUUAAAGCUGCCAAAUCAAGCACAAAGUAGGAUGCAUAACUAACAGAAAAACCCUUUUUAUGACAGCGUGAUCCUAAAAUAGUUUAUUAAUCCAUAAGUAAAAAAUAACUUGCAUUGGAAGAUGAAGAUAAAUCUAACACGAGUCAAGAUGCCCUUAAUUGCAUAAAUAGAGGACAAGUAACAAACGGAACUAGUGCAAUGAUCAACACUGGUCUCACUGCCCCCAAUCAAAAGCACAAGGACAAAGUAUCAAUCCUGAGGUGUUAAUCAUAUCUAAUAUGCCCGACCAACUCAUUCAAGAGAGCUAAGGAGCAGUGAACCGUACUGGAGAAGAGUUCUCAUAAGAAAACAAAGAAAGUGUUGCUAUUCAGAAGCGCUAGUCGUUAAAUCAAUCAAAAUAAUGAUGAAUAGUAUAACAAGCCAUCAAUCAAUCUAUCUAAGAGAUUAAAUGAGAGAAAACUACCUCAGUCUGUUUCACAAGCCAUGUAAUCAAAUGCAAAGGGCAAUAUCAUAACAAAAGGUGAAACACAAAGAAAAAGUUUUGCACUUAUGGCGUAGGUCAACAGAUAUAAAUCACAAUAACAAAAGAGCUUACACUUUGUGCAUAUAAAUAAGAUAGGUCUGAGUUCACAGAUGAAGUAGAAGAAGGUAAUAAAAAAGAAUAAACGAAUUUAUACCAUCUUUGAGUUGAGCUUGUUGCUCAAUGGCCUGAAGUCGGAAUUUCAACUCAUUGUUCUCACUUGUAAGCCCCACAGAAUCUCUUUGAAGAAGAAAAACUAGUGGUUACCAUUUUCGAAGAUAUUCAAGGCUCUACCGGAGGAGCGAGGAGAUGAAUGAAUGAGGCAAGAGGCCACUUUUUGACAAUUUGGAUGUUAGGGAUUUUUCCGAUCUGGGGAGCUUAGGAGGGAACAAAUACUUUGGUAGAGGGAGUUGAAAAGUUAUAUUUUGGAUAAGAUUCAUUUCUUUUGUUUUUAUCCACUCAAAAAGAACAACUCUAAAAAAAUUAAAAAUAAUUCAUAGCCUAGUGGUCUUCACACGGAAACUGAUCUAAAUAUAUGUAUAUACUAAUACUUUUAAAUAAAGUGUCAGAAGACAAGUAUCAGUAAAGACUAUUUUUCUAGUAGUGUAUCUUUUUAACUACAAGCUUUUUUUAGAAGUAUAUAUAUAUAGUACUAAUCUAGUCCAAGAUCCUAAACUUUGUUAAAAUUCAUGAAAGCUAUUAAGCUAUACGGUUUAAUAAUAUAAUAAUAUUCUUGUAAUACACGCGCGCGCGCACGCACACACAUAUAUAGUGCUGAUUUAGUCUAAGAUUUUGGAUUUUAUUAAAAUAUGGGAAACCUAUUAAGCCACACAUUUUAAUAUUUUUCCCAAACUUUAACAGAUCCAAGAUCUUAUAUUGAAAUAAUCCUAGUACACACACGUAUAUAAUUACUAUUUAGUCUAUGUAUGUUGUUUGAGGGAAAUACUUCGACGAGACCAAACGUGAUGAGCAGAUAUUUAGUGGCAGAGUUCUGCGAACAGGUAUGUCCUGUAAGAGCCUGGUAGCAGGGGAACAAGAGCAAGAAUAUUCUGCUCGUCCACGAAUAUGCCAUUCACGAGGACGAACUCCUGUUAGAGGCAUAAGGGCAUUCCUGCUAGAGGUCGAGGCGAGGAGACCCGGUCAACGACAGUUGGCAAGACGUGCCUUCCUAUCCGAGAAUCAAGGCACGAAGUCCAUCUCCAUUCGCCCACAAUGACGACAAUGGGGCAUCCACAUCCGAGGGUGGGGAGAAUAAUGGGCGUGGACUACGGAAGACCGGGAUCAAAGGAAGCCUAUAAAAAAGUAGCCAGCGAAGGUAAAAUGGUUAGAAUUUUUGCUAUUAGAACUGAGAAAAGAGAACUCUAAGAACUGAGAUUAAAAAGAAGCCAUAAGAUUCGUGGCAAACAUUCCCAGAGCCUUCAUUUCUGACUUGAGCGUCGGAGGGCUUGCGCCGGGGAAACAACCGGCGUACUCUGACCUAUCUGUGUACGCAGGAACCUCGGGAGAAGAAGCUUUACGAGGAGAGAUCCUGAUCGUAGUGAAGUUGAUCGAGUAGAGACCUUGGUCGUAGAACGAGGACAACUAGAAUCUCGUAUCAACAUUUUGGCGCCGUCUGUGGGGAGCUGAGCAAAAAGCUUCUGUUGAUAGCAAGAAGAGGAGUGAAGCAAGUUAAAAGCAAUGGAGACAGGAGGAAGUAGUGCACAAGGGGGUGAUAUGAGGCUUAAUGAUUCCGUGACGCUGAGGGAGAUAGCCAGUGAAGCGCGGGAAAAAGCCAUGUUCGAUCGGAUGAAACGGAUGGAAAAAUAGAUGGAGACCCUGACAACCAUCCUGCAUGAGCUGCGGAGUGAACGAAGAGUAACCCAGGAGGAAAGGGUGAGAGGUGGUGGAGUGGCACCAGGUCCCGAUAGUACGAGGAGAAGUCAAACCACCAGGAGAUUUGGUGGUGAGAGAGGUAACAUACCUCUGCGGGGAGAAUUUCAUAGAGAGGAAGAGUCAUCCCCGGCAAGACAGAUUUUUGACAAGGACAACGGGGUGGUGAAUGCAGAGGAAACAGAGUUGAGGCAACACUUGCAUGAUGUAGAGCAAGAGCGGGAUCAAGUUGCAGCACGUGACCCUGGUCGUGCAGUGCAGCUGGAGGAGGAAGUGCGCCUGGUCGUGCAGUGCAACUGGAGGAGGAAGUGCGCAGACUAGCGCAUAUAAUUGACGACAUGCAAGGAAGGAGCAGAGUUCCUGGUUGGAGGAUAAUGCUGGACGGAGAAUCACCGCUCGCAGCAGAGAUCAUAAGGGCAGUUAUUCCGAUAGAUUUUCGCCUCCCAGACCUUAGAUAUUUGGGACGAACUGAUCCGCUGGUGCACAUAGAGCGCUUCAACGACAUAACUGGGGUACAAGGAUUAUCUCAAUCCCAAAGGUGCAGGGUGUUCCCACUAUCCCUUGAGGGACGUGCAUGAGAGUGGUACAGGAAACUUUCUCGGGGGAGCAUUAAAACCUUCAAGCAGAUGUGCCAGGAAUUUGCAGAACAGUUUCAUAGGGCAAUGGCACCAGAAGAUGACAUGAUGGAGUUGAAAAACAUAAAGCAGGGGGAACAAGAAACACUUCGGGAAUUCAUCAAGAGGUUUCACCGUGCUGUCAUUGAUUUGGGAGCCUUCAACCAUCCUCAGGCAUUAAGGGGACUGAAAGAAGGGGUGAAGAUAGGAAGACUGUGGUACAAUUUGAGAAGCCCAGUUAUUCAGACGUACGCAGCCGCAUACGAGCAGGCUAAGAGGAACAUUGAGAUUGAAGAGGAAAAGGUAGCACGGAUCAAGACAGACCAGUUAGAAGGGUUGGGGAAGAAAGAGAAGAAAGCUUUGCCAGGGAAUGGGCCGAUCAGGAGGAGGGACCAUCAGGCCUCAGGUAGUGGAGCAGGAGGUCGGGUAACUACUUACCAGCCUCAUCAGAGGCCACCAUAGUAUCAGCGCAGUAGGGCGCAACCUCUUCGUUCCCCAGCCAGGGAGCCUUGGAGAAGGCAUGACUCGGCAUAUGGUGGUCUUCAUCAACACUCCCACGGUAGUAGAGGGGGCAGACCAGAAGUGCUGCCACCGCCUCCAACUCAGAACGGAGCAAAUAGAGAAAGGGCAGUGCACCUGAUUGACCAGAACCAAGACUAUGGGCGGUAUACUUCCUUGAAGAUGUCCCUGGACGAGGUGUACGAGGCCAUAAAGGAUCGAGGGUUACUAUACCUCCCUGCCCCAAUAACAAAGCUACCCAGCAGGAGGGAUAGGGGACGCUAUUGUAAGUUCCAUGGCACUCAUGGCCACACCACAGUAGAUUGCAGGGAUCUCAAGACCUAGGUUGAAGAUUUGGUGAGAAAUCGGUAUUUGGAUGAGUUUAUAGAUGGGACCUUCCCAAUGGUAGCCUCGACAAGCGAAGGGGAGCAGAAUGACAGGAACUUGAGGCGCGAUCAGCCUGCAGUAAGGGUGAUAGAUGGGGGCCCAACAUUGGCCGGAGAUUCCAACAGGUCAAGGAUGAAUUAUGCUAGAUAUGCCAUGACCAGCAAAGAUGUAUUCUUCAACACCCCAGCAGCCAAACGUGCAAGAGUCAGGCAAGUGCCAAUCAUGUGGACAGAUGAGGAUGAAGAAGGGAUUCUAUACCCCCACGAGGAUGCUUUGGUCAUCAAGGCCACUGUUGCCAGCAAGAAAUUUGACAGGAUACUGGUUGACAUAGGGAGCUCAGUUGAUGUGUUGUUUAAGUCAACCCUGGAGGAGAUGGGAAUAGCAGACCUAAAGUUGGAUUACACCAAUACCUCAUUGAAGUGGUUUGGAGGAGGAAAGUUGGUCCCUCUGGGCGUGGUCGAGCUGCCUAUCACGAUUGGGAGCUCCCUGACAUAAAGGACAAUGAUACUGGACUUUGUGGUAGUGGAUGAGGAAGGUCCUUAUCAGAUGAUCCGAGGCCGGCCAUUUCUGAGGAUGAGCAAAGCGAUGCUGUCCAACCAUUAUCUGGCUCUCAAGUAUCGGAUGAAUGGGGUAGUUGGAGUGGUACGAGGAGACUAGAGGAUCGCAAGAAGCUGCUACUCCUCGACAGCAAGGGAAGCAAUGCAGAUAACAUCGCUUGAUACCCGAGUGGAAAACAAGAAUGACAGACAAGAACCUGUAGAGGAUCUGGAGACAGUAAGCCUGGGACCAAAGAAUCCGGAAAAGACGAUCAGAAUCGGGUCGAAACUUAAGGAAAAGCAAAAGCAGGAGUUGGUGAAAUGCUUACAGGCUCAUGCAGAUGUGUUUGCUUGGACACAUGAAGACAUGCCAGGGAUUGAUCCUGAGGUAGCAUGUCAUAAGCUGGCAAUAAAGAAAGGUGCUCGGGCAGGAGAGGUAUGAGGCUAUAAAUGGCGAGGUGGAAAAGCUCUUGAGAGCAGGAUUCAUUCGGGAAGUCAAUUAUCCCGAGUGGAUAUCGAAUGUGGUGUUGGUAAAGAAGGCGAAUGGCAAGUGGAGGAUGUGUGUGGAUUUUACAGAUCUCAAUAAAGCAUGCCCGAAAGACAGCUUCCCUUUGCCAAAAAUCGAUCAGCUAGUAGAUUCAACAGCUGGGCACGGUCUGCUUAGCUUCAUGGACGCGUUCUCGGGAUAUAACCAAAUCCCCAUGUACGAGCAGGAUGAGGAGACCACUGCUUUUAUCACUAACCAGGGUUUAUUCUGUUAUAGGGUAAUGCCAUUUGGUCUCAAAAAUGCUGGGGCCACCUAUCAUAGGCUGGUGAAUAAGGUCUUUAAGCCGUUGAUCGGGAAAACCAUGGAGAUGGACGUGGAUGACAUGAUCACCAAGUCCAAAAUCCCGAAGGAACAUGUCGGACAACUCAAGGAGACAUUCGGGUUUUUGAGGAAGUAUAAAAUGAAGCUCAACCCGGAGAAGUGUGCUUUUGGGGUCGAGUUAGGGAAAUUCCUUAGAUUCAUGGUGAGCCAUAAGGGAAUUGAAGCAAAUCUCGAGAAGAUCCAGUUGAUCGUACAGAUGAGCUCUCCUCGUAGCCUGAAGGAGAUGCAGAGCCUCACGGGGAGGUUGGCGGCAUUAAGCAGAUUCAUAUCCAAGGCUACAGAUAAGUGUCAGCCGUUCUUUCAAGUGAUAAGGAGGGGAAAGAAAACAUAAUGGACUCCAGAAUGCGAGGAAGCCUUCCAGAACUUGAAGCAAUACUUGCAGCAAGCACCUCUGCUGUCCACACCGAGGGAUAGGGACAAGUUAUUUCUGUAUUUGGCUGUAUCAGAUCCGGCCACAAGUUCUGUUCUGGUGAGAGAGGAAGAAGGGGUUCAAUAUCCGAUAUACUACACCAACAAGGCCCUGCUUGACGCUGAGAUCAGAUACCCACCGUUGGAAAAAUGGGCACUUGCCCUUGUGGUUGCUGCUCGGAAGCUGAUGCCAUACUUUCAAGCAUUCCCAGUCUCGGUAAUAACAAACCAGCCAUUGCGUCAAACUCUGCACAAGCCAGACGCCUCUGGUCGGCUCGUCAAGUGGGCUGUAGAGCUGAGCGAGUUUGACAUAGACUACAAACCCUGAGCAGCGAUAAAGGCUCAGGCAAUGGCCGAUUUCGUAGCAGAAUUCACAGAGCCCGAAGUAUGUUUGGACCAACGAGAGGUAGCUACAGACAGUGGCGAAGCCCAAGUAUGGCAAAUGUUUGUAGAUGGGUCAUCAGGGGAGCAGGGAUUGUCUUGGAAGGACCGGAGGGGGAGCAGAUCUCUUAUGCUGUAAAGUUAGAAUUCGCAGCCACAAAUAACCAGGCAGAGUAUGAAGCCUUGAUAGCAGGUUUGGAAUUGGCUAAGGCCGUGAAAGCAGACAGAGUGAAGAUCAGAACUGAUUCCCAGCUGGUUGCAAAUCAUGUCAGUGAAAGAUUUCAACCAAGAGAGGAGAAGAUGGAGCAGUACCUGAAGAUAGUCAGGUAGAUGAUGGGGAAAUUUGAAGCAGUGGAGGUGGUACAAAUCCCCAGGGAGCAGAAUAGUCGAGCAGAUAUUUUGGCCAGGAUGGCAGCGGUAGCAGACCCAAAAAUGCCAAAGUCGAUCCCUCUAGAGGUGAAGUCCAGCCCGAGCAUCGAACAAAAUUUGGGGGUGCUACGGAUAGAACAAAAAUGCUCGUGGAUAGACCCAAUAAUUUCGUACCUUAGAGAUGGGGUAUUACCACCAGAUAAGCUGCGAGCUCGGAAGGUUAGAGCCCAGGCCUCGAGAUACACGAUGAUUGAUGGGGUACUCUAUCGGCGAGGAUAUACACUACCUUUCCUUCGAUGUUUGGAUGAGGACGACGCGGAUUACGUACUAAGAGAAGUACAUGAAGGGAUUUGCGGAAAUCAUUCUGGUGGGAGGUCCCUGGCCCACAAGGUUCUAAGACAGGGAUAUUUCUGGCCGACAAUACACCAAGAUGUGCAAGGGAAGACCAGGAGCUGUGUAAGCUGCUAGAGUUUUGCAAGUUUUUCCAACCAACCACCAGAGAAGCUCACCUCCAUGGCCUUCCCUUGGCCAUUUGCUCAAUGGGGAAUUGAUCUGAUCGGCCCGUUGCCAAAGGGACGAGGAGCAGCAACGCAUGCAAUAGUUGCUAUAGACUACUUCACGAAGUGGAUAGAGGUAGAAGCCCUUAGCAGGAUCACAGAGAAGAAAACAACAGACUUUGUGUGGAGAAACCUGGUCUGUCGAUACGGGAUCCCUUAUGCCUUGGUAACGGAUAAUGGCAGGCAGUUCGAUAAUCACAGCUUCAGAGAUUUCUGCCAGAACCUCGGGAUAGAGCUGAAGUAUUGCUCGCCUGCUCACCCCCAAUCGAAUGGACAAGUAGAAGCAGCCAACAAAACCAUCAAGAGGCUUUUGAAAACCAGGCUUGGAGCAAAGAAAGGUGCUUGGGUUGAUGAGCUAUCAUGCGUACUAUGGGCAUACAGGACAACCCAUAAGACAGCAACGGGGGAGACACCGUUCGCCUUGGCUUUCGGACAUGAAGCGGUCAUACCAGCUGAGAUAGGAACGACCACACACCGAACAUAUCAUUUCAACGAGCAGGACAACGACGAGCAGAUGUGUUUGAAUUUGGACUUACUAACGGAAAAAAUGGAGCAAGCAGCCGAGCGAUCAGUUAUUUACCAGCAGAGGGUUGCCCGGUAUUAUAACCAGAAGGUGAAUGUACGGCAGUUCAAAGUCGGAGAAUGGGUGUUAAGGAGAGUGAAUCAAAACACCAAAGACUCAACUCAAGGAGUGCUCGGACCGAAUUGAGAGGGGUCAUACAAGGUCAAGCAGCUAGUUGGACCAGGAGCUUACAAGUUGGUUCACAUGGAUGGCCACGAGGUGAAGCGCCCAUGGAACGCAACACAUCUCAGGAAAUAUUUCCAGUAAGAGUCGUUCAUAUUUUCAAAUUCUUUCUGUUCGUGUUCGUUGUUAUUUACUUUAUGUCAAAGCGAUCUCAUGUAAGCCGAAUUCAACAAUAAAGGGAUCAAUGAGGAAUUUCAGUCAGCUAUACUGUCAUCGAAAAAUUUAUAAGGCAUGCAAAGGCUCAUCAAGUCUCAAAGCCUGUUUUAUGACAGUAAGCCUGGGACCAAAGAAUCCGGAAAAGACGAUCAGAAUCGGGUCGAAACUUAAGGAAAAGCAAAAGCAGGAGUUGGUGAAAUGCUUACAGGCUCAUGCAGAUGUGUUUGCUUGGACACAUGAAGACAUGCCAGGGAUUGAUCCUGAGGUAGCAUGUCAUAAGCUGGCAAUAAAGAAAGGUGCUCGGGCAGGAGAGGUAUGAGGCUAUAAAUGGCGAGGUGGAAAAGCUCUUGAGAGCAGGAUUCAUUCGGGAAGUCAAUUAUCCCGAGUGGAUAUCGAAUGUGGUGUUGGUAAAGAAGGCAAAUGGCAAGUGGAAGAUGUGUGUAGAUUUCACAGAUCUCAAUAAGGCAUGCCCGAAAGACAGAUUUCCUUUACCAAAGAUCGACCAGCUAGUAGAUUCAACGGCUGGACACGGCCUGCUUAGCUUCAUAGACACGUUUUCGGGAUACAACCAAAUUCCCAUGUAUGAGCAUGAUGAGGAGAGCACGGCUUUUAUUACUAACCAGGGUUUAUUCUGUUACAGGGUAAUGCCAUUUGGUCUUAAAAAUGCUGGGGCCACGUACCAGAGGCUGUUGAAUAAAGUCUUUAAGCCACUGAUUGGGAGAACCAUGGAGGUGUACGUGGACGACAUGAUAACAAGGAGAUGCAGAGCCUCACGGGGAGGUUGGCGGCAUUAAGCAGAUUCAUAUCCAAGGCUACAGAUAAGUGUCAGCCGUUCUUUCAAGUGAUAAGGAGGGGAAAGAAAACAUAAUGGACUCCAGAAUGCGAGGAAGCCUUCCAGAACUUGAAGCAAUACUUGCAGCAAGCACCUCUGCUGUCCACACCGAGGGAUAGGGACAAGUUAUUUCUGUAUUUGGCUGUAUCAGAUCCGGCCACAAGUUCUGUUCUGGUGAGAGAGGAAGAAGGGGUUCAAUAUCCGAUAUACUACACCAACAAGGCCCUGCUUGACGCUGAGAUCAGAUACCCACCGUUGGAAAAAUGGGCACUUGCCCUUGUGGUUGCUGCUCGGAAGCUGAUGCCAUACUUUCAAGCAUUCCCAGUCUCGGUAAUAACAAACCAGCCAUUGCAUCAAACUCUGCAUAAGCCAGACGCCUCUGGUCGGCUCGUCAAGUGGGCUGUAGAGCUGAGCGAGUUUGACAUAGACUACAAACCCUGAGCAGCGAUAAAGGCUCAGGCAAUGGCCGAUUUCGUAGCAGAAUUCACAGAGCCCGAAGUAUGUUUGGACCAACGAGAGGUAGCUACAGACAGUGGCGAAGCCCAAGUAUGGCAAAUGUCUAUAGAUGGGUCAUCAGGGGAGCAGGGAUCGGGAGCAGGGAUUGUCUUGGAAGGACCGGAGGGGGAGCAGAUCUCUUAUGCUGUAAAGUUAAAAUUUGCAGCCACAAAUAACCAGGCAGAGUAUGAAGCCUUGAUAGCAGGUUUGGAAUUGGCUAAGGCCGUGAAAGCAGACAGAGUGAAGAUCAGAACUGAUUCCCAGCUGGUUGCAAAUCAUGUCAGUGAAAGAUUUCAACCAAGAGAGGAGAAGAUGGAGCAGUACCUGAAGAUAGUCAGGUAGAUGAUGGGGAAAUUUGAAGCAGUGGAGGUGGUACAAAUCCCCAGGGAGCAGAAUAGUCGAGCAGAUAUUUUGGCCAGGAUGGCAGCGGUAGCAGACCCAAAAAUGCCAAAGUCGAUCCCUCUAGAGGUGAAGUCCAGCCCGAGCAUCGAACAAAAUUUGGGGGUGCUACGGAUAGAACAAAAAUGCUCGUGGAUAGACCCAAUAAUUUCGUACCUUAGAGAUGGGGUAUUACCACCAGAUAAGCUGCGAGCUCGGAAGGUUAGAGCCCAGGCCUCGAGAUACACGAUGAUUGAUGGGGUACUCUAUCGGCGAGGAUAUACACUACCUUUCCUUCGAUGUUUGGAUGAGGACGACGCGGAUUACGUACUAAGAGAAGUACAUGAAGGGAUUUGCGGAAAUCAUUCUGGUGGGAGGUCCCUGGCCCACAAGGUUCUAAGACAGGGAUAUUUCUGGCCGACAAUACACCAAGAUGUGCAAGGGAAGACCAGGAGCUGUGUAAGCUGCUAGAGUUUUGCAAGUUUUUCCAACCAACCACCAGAGAAGCUCACCUCCAUGGCCUUCCCUUGGCCAUUUGCUCAAUGGGGAAUUGAUCUGAUCGGCCCGUUGCCAAAGGGACGAGGAGCAGCAACGCAUGCAAUAGUUGCUAUAGACUACUUCACGAAGUGGAUAGAGGUAGAAGCCCUUAGCAGGAUCACAGAGAAGAAAACAACAGACUUUGUGUGGAGAAACCUGGUCUGUCGAUACGGGAUCCCUUAUGCCUUGAUAAUGGAUAAUGGUAGGCAGUUCGAUAAUCACAGCUUCAAGGAUUUCUGCCAGAACCUCGGGAUAGAGUUGAAGUAUUGCUCGCCGGCUCACCCUCAAUCUAACGAACAAGUAGAAGCAACCAACAAGACAAUCAAGAGGCUUUUGAAAACCAGGCUUGGAGCAAAGAAGGGUGCUUGGGUUGAUGAGCUAUCAGGCGUACUAUGGGCAUACAGGACAACCCAUAAGACAGCAACGGGGGAGACACCGUUCGCCUUGGCUUUCGGACAUGAAGCGGUCAUACCAGCUGAGAUAGGAACCACCACAUACCGAACAGAUCAUUUCAACGAGCAGGACAACGACGAGCAGAUGUGUUUGAAUUUGGACUUGCUAACGGAAAAAAUGGAGCAAGCAACCGAGCGAUAAGUCAUUUACCAGCAGAGGGUUGCCCGAUAUUAUAACCAGAAGGUGAAUGUACGGCAGUUCAAGGUCAGAGAUUGGGUGUUAAAGAGAGUGAAUCAGAACACCAAAGACUCAACUCAAGGAGUGCUCGGACCGAAUUGNNNNNNNNNNNNNNNNNNNNNNNNNNNNNNNNNNNNNNNNNNNNNNNNNNNNNNNNNNNNNNNNNNNNNNNNNNNNNNNNNNNNNNNNNNNNNNNNNNNNNNNNNNNNNNNNNNNNNNNNNNNNNNNNNNNNNNNNNNNNNNNNNNNNNNNNNNNNNNNNNNNNNNNNNNNNNNNNNNNNNNNNNNNNNNNNNNNNNNNNNNNNNNNNNNNNNNNNNNNNNNNNNNNNNNNNNNNNNNNNNNNNNNNNNNNNNNNNNNNNNNNNNNNNNNNNNNNNNNNNNNNNNNNNNNNNNNNNNNNNNNNNNNNNNNNNNNNNNNNNNNNNNNNNNNNNNNNNNNNNNNNNNNNNNNNNNNNNNNNNNNNNNNNNNNNNNNNNNNNNNNNNNNNNAUUUACAAGGCAUGCAAAAGGCUCACCAAGUCUCAAAGCCUGUUUUAUGGCGAGACAGAAGCCAAGCGUGCCAGGAUCUGCUCGACCACGCAAAGGCGAGCAGAAUCCCCAAUCAUCAAAGUAUUUUCUAAGGCAUGCAAAAGGCUCACCAAGUCUCAAAGCCUGUUUUAUGGCGAGACAGAAGCCAAGCGUGCCAGGAUCUGCUCGACCACGCAAAGGCGAGCAGAAUCCCCAAUCAUCAAAGUAUUUUCUAAGGCAUGCAAAAGGCUCACCAAGUCUCAAAGCCUGUUUUAUGGCGAGACAGAAGCCAAGCGUGUCAGGGUCUGCUCGACCGCGCGAAGGCGAGCAGAACCCCCAAACAUCGAAGUAUUUUCUAAGGCAUGCAAAGGCUCAUCAAGUCUCAAAGCCUGUUUUAUGGCGAGACAGAAGCCAAGCGUGCCAGGAUCUGCUCGACCACGCAAAGGCGAGCAGAAUCCCCAAUCAUCAAAGUAUUUUCUAAGGCAUGCAAAAGGCUCACCAAGUCUCAAAGCUUGUCUAUGGCGAGAUCGGAAGCCAAGCAUGCCAGGAUUUGCUCGAUCGAGCAAAGGCGAGCAGAAUCCCAAGUCAUGCAGAAAGACCAUAUUCUAAGCCAGAGCCUGCUCGACCAAGAGAAGGCGAGCAGACCUUCAAAUGGAAAAAUAACUUGUAAAUACAAAUACAAGAAAGUAAUCAAAAAUAAUUUUUAUUAAUUUAUCAAUAACCAAUGAAGUUGUUCAUUACAACGCAAGAAAUAUGUUCAAGAAGAUGGUGGAUCAGUAAGCCGAGCAGCAUCGGUUGGCUGGACCUCCUCAGGUGCAGGGGGGUAUCACCAGUUGCAUCCGGGGAGGUGCUCGCCUCGCCAACGUCAGCAGGGAUUGCACGAGGAGGAGAGUUUUCCUCCUCAAUCACAAUCGGCUCUACCCCUUCGGCAUCUUCCUUGGCCGCCUCCUCGUCCAUAUGUUGAGCAACACCAGCUGCAAGGUUAUCCAUCUUCAGAUUAGGAUGCUGCUUCCCGAGGACCAAGUGUCUGGUCGGCUGUCAGGUAAGCGAGAUCGAGGCCCGACUGGAGGAGAAGAGGAAGCAGGAUAUGUGGCUGCUCUACUAGUUUCCCCGACUUUGGCAGGAGCAGGAGGUAAAGUCUUCAAGGGAGAGACUUGCUGCACGAUGUUGGCCCGCUUUGCAGUAGGGGCGUCCUUGUUCUGGUUCCUCUUCGUGGUUUGAGGUCGAGAACGUUUCCUGUUCAGAGCCCCAAUCACAGCGUCCUCCAUCUUAUGGCCAGGGAGUACCAAGCGAGACUCGAGCAAGUUGUAAAUAGUUAUCAGUUCUCAGCUCGGGCAGGAGUUGGCUAGUACAGCCUCGACCCGUUUGAGCUGAUCAGGUUUGAGCGGGAAAUGAACACCCCAAGAAACUACAACACAAACAGACACUUGGUUAGAGACAAACCAAUAAAGCAAGAACAAUUAUGGAUACAAGACAUCUAAAGCGAGCAGGCAACCUGGAACCGUGAAACGGGGUGGGACGUGACAAUCCUUCCCGUCUAUUUGUGCAACUAGACCCCAAGGACCCCCAGCAAAAAAGAAUUUCCUCUUCCAAGUCCCACCACCACCAGUUGGAAGAUCAGUUAUGGGUUUCCUGCUCUUGGUACUAGAUUGGAAGUAAUACCAGCCGGCAUCUUUAGGGCUGCUCUUCAGCUGGUACAGGUGCUUCACCUCAUCAACCGUGGGCUCGCUUUGGCAACAUCUGUCCCACAAUAUGAACAGACCAGAGAGCACUCUCCACCCAUUGGGGUUCAGCUGACUAGGAGCCAGAUUUAGCCCGUUAAGUAUCCGGGCAAAGUAAGGUUGCAAGGGACACCUCAGCCCAUACUUUAAACUCUCCAGAAACAGGGUAACAUAUCCCCUAGGAGGCUGGCUAGGUGUAUCCUUCUUUCCUGGGAUCUUAAGAGGUAUCUCACCAGGAAUACUAUACCUAAGUCGGAGGUCAUUGAGCUCGUCUAACGUGGUCGUGCACGACAUUUAAUCAAUGGCAUAAUCACGCGACAAGGCUCUACCUCCUACUGUACCCCGUUCUUCUGGUCGUGAUGUUCCAGAUGGAGACACCUCACCAGAAUCACCUUCCCCAUUCUCACUCAAGGUGUCUUCAGAGCCAGAAGAUCCAUCCUCACCAUUACUUCCACUCGUGGAGGUUGUUUGGGGGGACAUCCUCAUAGCACUAGUCCCGACACUAGACCUAAUGGGUUCUAAGGGGAUCCCGGGGUCAAAAGCAGGAUCAGUGAGCAGACUAGGCAAGAAACCUAGUUCGUCGUCAUCAAUCUCAAUGACUUUCUCCUUACCCUUCGACAUUCCCUAAAUAAUAACCAAAACACCACCACCAACUACUACCCCAAGCAAAGCAAAGAGAAAAGAAGUUAUCUACAAACUAUCCGAGACCGAAGAGAAAGAAGUAAUACUUGAAGUAAUGUUUCAAUCAGAGAAAGGCAAGGAUGGGGGCUUUUAUGCCGAAACUUCUUUCCCUGAGAGACAGGGACAGAGACGGUGGAAAUGGCGAAUUUUCCCUUCGAGAGGUUUUAGGUUAUCUUAUUGGAAGAAAAACUCUUGGAUAGCCAGCAUUUAACAGCACCGAAUCCCGAGGGAGAAUAACCGACGGUUUGAAAUUCAAAUGGAGGGGUAGAUCUCUGCCACAUCACCUCAUCCGUAAUUAAAUGCGACACGACUUUUGGCAGCCUUUUCAAGUCCCACGCGAGCAAGAACCGUUGAGUUUCUACUGCUGGUCCAUUACAUUGCCCAACACCAGAAACUGGGGGACCGGUGUUUGAGGGAAAUACUUCAACGAGACCAGACGUGAUGAGCAGAUAUUUGGUGGCAGAGUUCUGCGAACAAGUAUGUCCUGUAAGAGCCUGGUAGUAGGGGAACAGGAGCAGAAAUAUUCUGCUCGUCCACGAAUAUGCCAUUCACGAGGACGAACUCCUGUUAGAGGCAUAAAGGCAUUCCUGCUAGGGGUCGAGGCGAGGAGACCCGGUCAACGACAGUUGGCAAGACGUGUGUUCCUAUCUGAGAAUCAAGGCACGAAGUCCAUCUCCAUUCGCCCACAAUGACGACAAUGGGGCAUCCACAUCCGAGGGUGGGGAGAAUAAUGGGCGUGGACUACGGAAGACCGGGAUUCAGAGGAAGCCUAUAAAAAGGUAGCCAGCGAAGGUAAAAUGGUUAGACUUUUUGCUUUUAGAACUGAGAAAAGAGAACUCUAAGAACUGAGAUUAAAAAGAAGCCAUAAGAUUCGUGGCAAACAUUCCCAGAGCCUUCAUUUCUGACUUGAGCGUCGAAGGGUUUGCGCCGGGGAAACAACCGGCGUACUCUGACCUAUCUGUGUACGCAGGAACCUCGGGAGAAGAAGCUUUACGAGGAGAGAUCCUGAUCGUGGUAAAGUUGAUUGAGUAGAGACCCUGGUCGUAGAACGAGGACAACCAGAAUCUCGUAUCAACAUAUGUGUUAAUGCUCUAAGAGGAAUAUACGAAGAAAUAAUCCAUUGAUGUAAACAAUAUACAUAUUAAUUGAUGUAAGAUGAUGCUGGCGAAAAGAAAAACGUGACAAAGAGCCCUUCAAACUAGUACCACAAAUUAAACGUUACUUUUCUUUUUCUGUCUUAGAAGGAAGAUAAUAAUGAAAACCCAAAUUAAUUAUUUAAUUCCCACUUCUUUAGGACUGGAAGUCAAAUGAGUUGUUAAAAAAAUUGUUUGAAAUUAUUCGGCCAAAUUGUUGAAGGAUACUAUUACUCUAGUUUGUAUGAAUUAAACUUGUACAUAUGUAAGUUACAUAUAAGGAUACUAUAAUUCUAGUUUGCUAAGUUACUGCUCAUGUAAGUUACAGCCUUUGAAAAUAAUGUAAAAGGGAGUAAUAAGUUAUGGGACCUGCAGCCUUUGAAAAUAAUUUUUCGUCUAGAGAUAUGACCCAAUCUUCUAGGCCAUAAUGCAGCCGAAUUCUCAUUAGUUAAUCUUCUUUUUAAAUUUCAUGUACUAAAUUGCAUAGAUUCAUUAAAUGAAGCAAUUGUAUCAAGCAUAUAAAGAUUAUCAUUACCUGACAAAAAACCGAAACCAACUAGUUUUGAAUCAUGAAACAAACUGAAUUUUUCAUUUCCAAAUGAACAAGUAAAACCAGAUUUGUCCAAAAGAGAAAUGGAAAUCAAAUUAUGUCUUUUAGACAGAACAAAAUGUUUCAUCAACAUCUAAAUAAAAUCUGGUCUUUAAUAAUAAUCUAAAUUUUCUAAUUGCUUCAACUUCAACCUUCUUUCCAUUGCCGAAAUAGAUGUAUCUUUCACCAUUAUUGAACAUUUGGCAUUUCAAGCAACUCUACGAGACACGUUGAUGUGAGUGGUUACAACAAAAUCUAUCCAUCAUGUGUGUCUUGGUACCAAAGUUAAAUUGACCUCAGAACAAACCGAACCGUGCCCUUCAACUUUGCAAAAGAAACAACUAGUACAUUUCAAAUCAUUUGAUUUCUUUUUGUUGUUUCAUUUGAAGUUUUGUAUUUGCAACUUCCUUAUCUUUCUUCCUUUUCUUGUUCUUGUCCUUGUCCUUAUACCUUAUUGAAAUUAUAUUUAUUAAGAGCGUACUUAUUUCUACCUUUUCAUUCUUGAGAGAUCUCUUUUUAAUGUCCACAAGGAAUUCUUUAAUCGUAAUUUUUUUCUAAACAUUGAGCCCCUGAAAGCUUUUGGAUUGGCCUUCUUCAUGAUCAUGAUACACAUGUGAUUUGAUCUCUUCCGCAUUUCUAUUUCCUUCUUGUCAUCAGAAGUACUCAUCCAUAAGAGGUGGAGGAGAAUAAGCUCUUAAUGCAAUGUCAAAAUUCAUGAGUGCGAGAUCCAUUAAGAGGUUCUCUUGACAUGACUUGAAGUUAGAGCUAUUUAGCAUAGGAAUAGAGUUGAUGUUGGCAAUAAUAUUAGUAAGAGUCAUAACUGAACAGAGAACAACAAACAAACAAAACAAGCUCAUAUAAGUUAUAAAACAAAAAUAAAUUCAUAUAAAGGUAAACUCCAUCUCAAGAUACCGGACGCUCCAUUAAUAUUUUAUCUUUGGACAGAGUAUUAAUUUAUAAGUGAUAUCUUGGUGUAGUAAUCAAAAAUUGAUAAUGAGAACAUGUCAAACAAUAAAUUUUCCUUUGCACCGAUUUAUUGUUCACAUGUAAAACCAAAAAAUCAUCACAUAUUUAUUGCCACAUAUGCACAUGCAAUUCUAUCAAAUAUGGAUCUUCCUUUGGUUCGAUUGAUGUUCACAUAAAUUACAUAAACUCAACUAUUUAAAUUUCAAAACAAAUUAAUUUCCACAACAUAGGUCACUUUGGUGACAUGUCGCUUCAAUUAAUUCAUCUCAAAAUAUAUAUAAUAUUUGAAUUUAAAGUUGUACCAAAAAUUACCCAAAAAAAUUUUGGGCCAAAGUCAAUAUCAUCGAACAAUAGUUGGUCAACCGUUGAUCGGUUUAGGGCUGGACCAAUUGGGGUUGAACUGAACCAGAUUCUAAACCAGCAUCAAAUCUUGAAACCCUAAUUUCUUCCUUUUUUUUUCUUUCCUUAUGGCUGCCGUGCACACCUAAGUUAUACAACCGCUUGCCGACGCAGCCUGAUGGUUGCACCUUUCCUGGCCAGAAAACGGCCACCCUUUUUCUUAUUUACUUUUACUUUAUUUGCCACGGCUUGCUUUAUGGCAUGGCCAAUAGCCACGCUUUUCUAGUGGCCACAAAAUCUCAACGCCGGAAGCCAUGCAAUUUGUUUUGUUUUUAUGUGAUGGGCAUGGCCAUGGCUACCAAUUUUACCAUGAUUUCCUUAUAUAUAUAUAUAUAUAUAUUUAAUUUACUGAUUUAAUUUUCUUAAUACCAUAAGAAAACCACAAAUUGUUCUCAAAUUCAAUAAUACUGAAAUUAUUAAAUUAGAGAACAUCAAAACUUUAAUUAUUAAUUGAAAAUAAAGUCGAUUCUCAAUUAUUCAAUAUGAAGAGGAUUUGAUGCCACUUGUUAGAACAAUAAUCCUUUGGUGAAAGCCAUCACUUAUAAUCCAGAAACAUUCAUGUUGUAUACAAAGCAUCAAUAACAAAAUAUACAGAAGCGUAAUUGAAUCUAUAAUGUACAAUUACUCUCUAAAGUCGUGUAGUUGGCAUUCCAGAUCAAUACAUUCUCCUAGUGAACCCUUUAAGUUUAUAUGUGCUCUCUUCCUGAUGAUGGGAUGUCAUAAAGAAUCAAAUAAUAUGUGUGACCUAGGGACUAUAACCACUUAUAUAGACAACUUUUUCUGUUGUCUUUAGGUAUUCAAAUUUCAGCCCACCAUAAAAAUAAAAAUUAUCCUUAAGUAUCUACACAUUAAAAGUUCACACCCUAUUAAAUACAUUGAAGCUCAUAUUAUUAUAAAUGUUAAUAAAUUCACUUUUAAUUAGACUAACUUUAUAUAAUAGUUUGUAACGAGUAAUUAUUCACAUAUAAGUUCAACAUUAGAUUAAGAAUCCAAUAAUAUUGGAUUAAAGAUACAACAAUUAAAGGUAACUAGUUAUUAAAAAAAUAAAAAUAAAAAUAAAAAAUGAAAAUCAAGAUAUUUUGAUGAGAAAGUCAUGUCCACGAGCCUAAUUGAUUGAUCAAGUAUGCAACAGUGCAGUGACCAUCUAUCUAUUCCUUCAAGCUCUAUAAAUAGCAAGCUCUUGUGCUUUAAUUUCCACCUGUCUAACAGCCUUCAAAAUAAUUGAAAAUUUAUCAACAAUGAAGAACUCAGUACUAGCACUAGCAUUCUUCGUCUUUCUCUUUGCCUUUGCUGCAAAACCAUCUUUGGCUGCUCGUCAUGAGCCUUUAGUGCUUCAUUCCGAUGGCCAGGAGCUCCUCACGGCUACCAGCAAUUGCGAUAUCGUAACUCAAUUUGAGUGUAAUGGUACGUAAUUAUUAUUGAGGACAUUAUCCUAAUAAUUACUGGGUUAAUAAUACAACUGAGCUAAUUUUUUAAUAUGAGUUAGGUCCAUGGACUUUUAAAAUAUGGCCAUAAUUGGCUGUUGAACAAGUUUUAACCACUUAGUAAUUCUUAUAUGAAAUAUAACUGCAGGCAAGAGCGCUCAUGGCCAGAACUGGUUGGUGUAAACGGGGAGAUUGCUGCUGCUACGAUUAUCUGCAAUCAUUAUGGCUGGAUGGAUGGUCAGGAUUAACUGCUUGUUUAUAAUCACUUAACUAUGUAUUAGUAAAAUAAAUGAACAAGUAGUGUUGUUUAAUAAAGCAUGCAUGGAUGUGCGUGAUAUCCAACAAUCGGGUUCU